UAAAUAGAUGCCAUGCUAGCUCUUGUUGUGCUCACAAUUAAUCCGACUACACACGAGCUUCUCUCCCUGGCCAAGACACAAUCAUAGUAUGAUGAAGAACAUGGCACUAGCCGGCAAUGGUAUGAAGAAGUUAAUCCUCGCUGUUCUCUUACUCUGUCUAGUUAUAGGGCAGAUACAAGUGGAAGCUAAGAGCUGCUGCCCAUCCACCACUGCAAGAAAUAUCUACAAUACCUGCCGUUUCGGGGGUGCAUCCCGUUCAAUGUGUGCAAAACUGUCAGGCUGCAAAAUUAUCAGUGGGAACAAAUGCAAGCCCCCUAACGACCACCUCACCCUUGACCCGGACACUGGUAAAUAAUAAAUUUAUCUCACUUGAUUUCUUCGUGAUUUGAGUCGUUAAUGUAUUUUCCAUCUGAUGAAACGUAUUGGUUUUGCAUUGAAGAGGAAGUUAAUGUGCUUAACUUCUGCAAGUUGGGGUGUGCGUCGUCUGUGUGCAACAACAUCAACGCUGGUAAGCACCUUUUGCUCAGACGGAGAAAACAAUAAUCAUUAAUUAGCGGCAGCUAGAAUCCUAUAAUCUAAUAUAUUUAUAUAUAUAUAUAAUUUUAUCAGCUCUGGGAAAUGAAGAGGCGAACGAUGCCGUUGAGAGUUGCGACCAAGCCUGCUCUAGCUUCUGCAGCGUGCAUGUUGGCAGCGCCACCGUGGUUGCUUAAGCAAAUGCAUGCAACUAGAUCGUCCUUGUGCUGAAUAAUUGGAUAUCGUAUCCACUUAAAGCUGCCUUGUGUAGUACGUCUUUGUUUGUGUCUCUCUUUAUAUUCCACUAAGGUCGGUGAUCUUGAUGCCACACACACUCAGAUGUGUGUUCAUCUCCAGAUACUACUCCAUGCUACCUGCCCUUUUUGUUUUGUUCAAUAACUGGGUAUCAUAUCCCGGCCAGUGUGCCAUCUAUUUUGUGUUUGUUUCCUUCUAGUUCCAAAGGGGUCAUCAUGAUGUUACCUUCUUUCGAUAUGGUGCUUUGCAUGACAACUGUUGUAUGGUACCAUCUUGUUGGCCAAUAAAUACAUCUUAUCCUAUGACCCUUUGCUAUGACCCUUUGCAAAUAAGUACAAGAUUGUUAUAAGCGUCAAUACUCAGUAUAAUUGAUCGCUGCUGUGAGUUCCCUUUCAGCUUAUCGUAGGCACACAUUAUUGCUAGCACGGUAAAGACAACCAACACGAAUGAUGAAGUAAACGUAGCGGUACUUUUGUAUACCAACACCCUUACUUAAAUGUACUGGUGUCAUUCCCUACUGGCACAUAUAUUCUUAUAUGCUAGCCAGAUUGGAAAAUUAACCAAUUAAAAUAAUUAUUUCAAGAUAGAAAUAACUUAUCGGCUUCUCGAAGCAUGUGUAAUUUUAAUUCAAGGACUCAAUGGAAGUUGAAUCACUUCAUCUAGAUUGCCUUCUGGAUUUUGGUUAACUAAAUUUAACAUUUGUGUCGGGGGGAAAUAUUAACGAUUUUCUUACGCUCUCUAAUUAACGGAUACAAGGGCUAGGGCCCACCCCUAAUACCCAUAAUCUCCGCUAACAACACAUCCCAGAGGCACUCCGCUCCGCCUCGCCCGACUUCAGGGUCGCAGGGUCGGACGUGCCCGACCCCCCAAGGCCUCGCCUCGUCUCAGCCGAUGGAGUUCCGCCUCGCCCGACCCUGAGCCCAACGGAUCGGACGCGCCCGACCCCUCGAAGCAGGACUCCGCCUCGCCCGACCCUGAGCGCAAGCGGUCGGACGUGUCCGGUCCCACCUGACAGAGCUCCGCCUACCCGAAGGUACGAGCAGGUCAUCAGACGGAAGCGCGGGCUCUGUGAGUCCCCCUGGGCUCACCCAACCGAUGGGACCGCGCAAGCUUCCAGAUACAGUUCUGACACAUGGAGAGGCGCCCGCGUUCCUCGACAUGACCUGUCAAAAUGUUGGUCUGCGCACUGCUGCCACGACUGCACAGGGCUACACCUGCACCGUCCUACCCCACUGUGACAUCUGUCAUAGGGCACUCAUCGCUCAUACCAUCUAAUGGAGGAGGGAAAACCGCCUAGUUUUCCACGUGGGCUAGCAAGAAGAGCACGUCAGCCACGCCGCCCCGUCAGGGUGCAUGGCUACAGUGGUUGACCAUCACCCGCGACGUGCACAGUCACAGUGGCCAGUCGUCACCACCAACUUGCACAGCUACAGUGGUCGGCCGCCAUGCACGACUCGCGUGUCCGGCUACAGUGACCGACCGCCGAGUCACCGAUGGGACCCAACGGCAACCCCUAUCCCUUAGUAGCAGUACCGACAAGACGCAGAGACAAGAAGGGAAGACGACGUCUCUAGUAGCCCCACUUGCUUCCCUUUUUACCUUUCUACCUGUUUACCUUCCUUACUCCCGGCUCAUUUGUAACCUCUGUAUCCUCCUUGCACUAUAAAAGGAGACCAGGGGGUCUGAGGGCAAGGGACCCUCGGAGACCGAACCCCGAAUUCACCCAAGUACAAACCAACCGAACCACCAGACGAGAAAGACUCACAGAGAUCUGGGAACCAGCUUCCCUCUCUCACCUAUUUGUAGCCUCUACUCCAGACUUGGUACGAGUAACACGAGCAGCCACCCGCACUGGACUCCUCCGCCAGAAACUGGUCCAACCAGUCGGGUCCCUCCCCCUGCUCUUCGUCCUCAUCAUCCUCAUCAUCGUCGUCCUCAUCCGUUGCCGUGUCUGGCCCCUCCGCAGCCUUCAGAACUCCGCUGCAGCUUUCUUUUUCUUCCUCACCGUCUCCUUGUCCUUCCUCUUCUUCUGUGCUUCGUCGAGGAGGCGGUUCCGCUGCCUCUGCACCACGUCCUCUGGCACCGGUGGACGGGAGGCUGUGACAUGGUUUAAGUUACCCUGCAGAUUCGAAGACUCCGCGUCAGAAUAGCAAACCAGGAAAUGCAGGAAAGAAGAACGAGAGUGCAAAUUUCUAACCAGCAGGACAUAGGCCUCGUCCGGGCGCAUCGGAGGGUGCCCCGGCACCGGGAACACGACAUCCCUGUCACCCAAUGCAUCCCGGACACGCUGCUCGAUCUCGGCGUCGGCAAUUGCACCCGUCGCAAGGACGGUGCUGUGGUACGCCCCAACAACUCCGGCCCCGGUCAGGCCCUCCUCCUUCAGAAGGUUGAUGGCUUCGAGGAGACCCCGGAUAUUCUUCUUCUCCUUCUCAACAGGGCCAUAUGUCCACGUUCCCGGUGCCUCCACGAUGACGCGGCCAGUGAACUCCGUCAAGAGGACAUCGGGGCGGUUCUUCACAUAGAGCCACUGCUGAUGCCACCCUUUGUGGGAUGACGGGGUCUUCAUCGAUGUAUACUCCUUGGGCCGAUGGCCACAGAGGUGGAUGCCGGCACACCCCAUCAGCAUCGGAAUCGUCCGCGUCUGGUUUCCUCUCUUCUCGGUCCUCUGAUGAAGAGUGACAGCGAAGAAGUACUUCCACAGGGCGAAGUUGGGCUCGAUCCCCAGGUAUCCCUCCCAAAGCACGACGAACGCCGCGAUGUGCUGGAUUCCGUUGGGGUUGAGGUGCUCCAGCUCAAUGCUAUAGUAGUGCAGCAGCCCCCGGAAGAAGCGACUUGGGGGAACCGCGAACCCCCUCUCGUGGAAGUGCGCGAAGGAGACGAUGUACCCGUCCUCCGGCUGUAGCACGGCCUUGUUCCCGGGAUACCGCCACUCGUUCUCGGCGAUCCUAUCGCGAAGAAGGCCCUUCUUCACGAGACCGAUCACGCGCGCGGUGUUGAAGAUUGACCAAGACCUUGAAUCCAUCGCCGAGGAAGGGGAAGGCUCGACGGCGGUGGUGGAAAGGUGAAUGCUCUGGCUCGAAAGAGGAUGAAAAGUGAACAAGGAGGCGAGAAAGGCUGAAGACGAGUGCGGAGCGGAGCAAGCAAGGUAAGCUCUCUCGUUUUACAGGGGGCGUGCGAGAAACGAAAGGCGAACCGAACGCAUUUAUUGCGACGUCAGGUAUGCCCCAUCGCCUCCGCCUUUCUUCGGAAACCGUACGCAUGAUUUCUUUUUAACCGCAGGGAACGCUACGCCCCCUCGCCCCACGAGCCCGGUGUUUUUUGCCGCUUCGUCUCCUGGAGGUCAUGCGCACAACUUCCUCCACAAGCGGCCCAGGGCCCGCUUCAGGUAAAAAAGGGAUACAGAGCUGAAAACACUCUAACGGCCCAUUACGGUCCAGGGGUUCGAAGGCUGGCCCUCUAGAGGGUUCGACAUCCACCCCAGGACAUUUCUUGAGCAAGGGGUGAGAAGGGACGGGUCCGCUAGCGACCACUACCCUGGUGAACAAAAGCCAAGGGCGUCCCGACCUCACAUUUGAGUCUCGAUUGGCGUUUAAGUUCAUGGUUUUUCCCCGAAGAAAGGCAAAGUGCCCCCGGAUCCGGUUGAACAGACCUGGGAACUAUAUGAACUGGCCGUCCGAAAUCUGGAGUACGCCACCAGCUUGGCCCAAGCCGGACCCGCCCGAACAGGGACCGGGACUCCACUCGAACUGACCCGUUAGCAGCUCACCGAGCACCAUGGUUCGUCCGAUGAGGAUAACAUGGCACGGCUCACCCCCUCCGUCCCAACGAACGGACGCUGAGGGGUAACGACUAAAAGACGAUCCGACCUCUCGAUCGGUCCCCUGCAAUGCGCGGGGGCUCGAGGGCUGGAAUCACAACGAAACGACCAUGCGCAUGGUUACGACUCGGAAUUUUGAGGCAGGAAUGGUCAUUGAAACAAUAGGGAAUCUUCCCAAACCGUACCAUCCUCAGAACACUCUGGCUACCCAAAACUCCCCGGCCAGGCCAAACAAGCAAAACUUUUCUCCUGAUCAAAUCAAGGUACAUGUUAAACAAGACCCCUGACAAACACUCUGCCGAGAGCCAAUCACAGCCUCUGGAGGAGCACCUUGCUCCACCAAAGGCUCGGGGCCUACUGUCAGGGGGAAAUAUUAACAAUUUUCUUACGCUCCCUAAUUAAUGGACACAAGGGCCAAGGCCCACCCCUGACACCCGUAAUCUCCACCAACAACACAUCCCAGAGGCACUCCGCUCCGCCUCGCCCGACUACAGGGUCACAGGGUCGGACACGCCCGACCCCCCGAGGUCUCGCCUCAUCUCAGCUGAUGGAGUUCCGCCUCACCCGACCCCAGGCGUAAGGGGUUGGACGCGCCCAACCCCUCAAAGCAGGACUCCGCCUCGCCCGACCCCGAGCGCAAGGGGUUGGACACAUCGGAUCCCACUAGACAGAGCUCCGCCUCGCCCGAAGGUAUGAGUAGGUCAUCAGACGGAAGCGCGGGCUUUAUGAGUCCCCCCAGGCUCACCUAACCGAUGGGACGCGCACAAUUCUAGAUACAGUUCUGACACGUGGAGAGGUGCCCGCGUUCCUCGACAUGACCUGUCGGAAUGUUGGUCUGCACACUACUGCCACGACUGCACAGGGCUACAACUGCACCGUCCUACCCCACUGUGACAUCUAUCAUAGGGCACUUAUCGCCCAUGCCGUCUAACGGAGGAGGGCAAACCGCUUGGUUUUCCGCGCAGCCUAGCAACUACAGCACGUCAGCCACGCUGCCCCGUCAGGAUGCAUGGCUACAGUGGUUGACCGUCGUCCGCGACGUGCACAGCUACAAUGGCCAGUCGUCACCACCAACUUGCACAGCUACAGUGGUCGGCCGCCAUGCACGACCCGCGUGUCCGGCUACAGUGGCCGACUGCCGAGUCACCAAUGGGAUCCAACGGCAACCCCCAUCCCUCAGUAGCAGUACCGACAAGACGCAAAGACAAUAAGGGAAGACGGUGUCUCCAGUAGCCCUACUUGCUUCGCUUUUUACCUUUCUACCUUUUUACCUUCCUUACUCCUGGCUCAUUUGUAACCCCUGUGUCCUCCUUGCACUAUAAAAGGAGACCAGGGGGCCCGAGGGCAGGGGACCCCCGGAGACCGAACCCCGAAUUCACCCAAGUACGAACCAACCGGACCACCAGACGAGAAACACUCACAAAGAUCUGGGAACCAGCUUCCCUCUCUUGCCUGUUUGUAGCCCCUACUAUAGACUUGGUACGAGUAACACGAGCAGCCACCCGCACUGGACGUAGGGCUAUUCCUGCCCGAACCAGUAUAAACCUCGCGCCCUCUCGUACAACCAUCCAAGCCUUACGCGUAGAGAAACAAAUUUACUAAGCCGGUAGUCUUGACCCGUGAUUCGUGAGACCGACAAUUUGCACAUACAAAUGUUAAAGUACAAAUGUUAAAUCUAGUUACCAAGCAGAAUACGAAAUAGCGGGCUAUAGUGAGGCUAUAGCGGCGCUAACUGCUGCAACAACAGUGUUGUACUAAUUAGCAGGCUAUAGCGGAGCUAUAGCGGUUGAGCACAGCUCUACGCUAAAUAUCAUAGCCCUCAAUUUUGUACAUUGUAUAUACUAUAUAAAUCUAGUUAACAUUUAGUCUAAAUGUUAAAUCGAGUUACCUAAAAUCCUGAAAGCAAAAUGUAUAAAUAUAUAUCUUUUAGGGUAGUAUAAGCUUCGAUUCCUUUUGCUGCUCUGUUAAAUCUCAUCUUUCGUUGUAGCCCAACACUCUAGUAUUGAUUUUGCACCAAGCUUCUUUGAGCCGCUCUGCCCUCUGAUUUUGCUGCGUAGGGGAAUCUUUAUCAGGUUGGGCUACUUCCAGUCGUGCGAUGUAUACCUUUGUAUCUUCUAGAAGGUAGACAGAAAACCCGCGUUCUCUUAAGGCAACAACCAGAAGAUUCUGCAGCGCACGGGGCAUAUCAUUGUUGUAGAAACGACCUUUAGUAUCGAUCUCCAACCCCUUAUAGUACUGGUUUUGCAACCAGUACCGUUAUGUCGGACCUUUAGUACCAGAUCAAAUAACCGGUUCUAAAGGGACUCCUUUAGUACCGGUUGGUAACCAGUAUCAACUUGUUUUGCGGCCAAAAAAAUAAAGAAAAAAAUAGCCAGAAGGCUAGCACACACACACAUCCCACGAAAUAUGCGCGUGCGCGGUCCAUGGGAUUCGAACCCAUGAAAUCAAGCUGCGCGCAACCCUUCGUUACCAUCUCACCUUCAGUACCGGGUCAUAACACCACCCGGUACUAGUAUCGGAUGCUGUAAUGACUCGAUACUAAAAGGCCUCUAGGGACCCUCAAAUUUGGACCCGAUACUAAUGCUAACAUUAGUACCGGGUCAAAGUGCAGCCAGUACUAAAGCAUGGGACGAAAGGUCAUAUUUCUAGUAGUGUAUAGUUGUUGUGUAGGACUGACUUGGCUGUCCUCUCUCUUCUCCAUCCCAUUGGUCUUACGCCGCCGCUCGCACGCGAGCCGGCACCCAACCAGAGGAGUGAGAGCUAGGGGCGGGUUGGGAGGUGGGGGUAGCGACUGGUGGCUAGGGUGAUGGUUGAUGUUGGCGGGGUUAGGGUUUCAUGGUUUUCAAGCUACCUACGGCCGGCGAACCUAGAGGAGGAGGUCGACAUCAGCUGCAACCCGCGGUGGUGGUGGUUUGGCCGGCGCCCCAGGCGAGGCAGCGUGGGAGUGCUGCUGGCGGGUUGGUGUUGGCGCUCAUUAUUGACACAUUUUUAGUACUAUUUUGUUCAUGGAAUAACACUCAAACGUGCUGGUGCUGCUGCCGCCAUCGCCGCCCUAGCCAUAAUAUAAAGGCAAAAUUUGCUAGAGGACAUGCAAAAUGAUGCUAGUUUGCUGGAGGGCACCGUUGACCAUGUAAUAUGCUACAAGACACUCUAGUUGUUCUAGAGUGUAUCAAUUUGCUGAAAGACAUUGCUACGACUAAAAUAAUGUUUCUGGACUGAGUUGGAGAGAGAGAUGGAGUGAAAUGUCUGUUUUGCCCAUGACCCCACUGAUCAGAUCCUUCUUCUUCCACCCUCCUUUCUUCUUUCUUCAACCAUUACCCAGCUCUAGUGUGUUGCAGAUCUACGAGGGUGGCGGCCCGGGGCGAGGGGCAUCGCUUGCCCUCAGACGAGCGCCGCGAGCGACGGCGCGGGGGCAGCAACGGCGCGUCGGAACCUGACCGUUCGUUAGCUCCUCUCGCUGCUGGGGAAGGAGGGGGAGGGGCCAUGGACGGGGUUCCCUCGAAAACCUUAGCCUCGAGCUCAGGCGGCUACGCGCAGGCAGCACUAGGCUCUUCGCGGGGAGGGGGCGCGGCCAAUCAUUGGCACCCCACUGGUCCAAUGCUGAUGAAGAUGGUGCCAGCGUCGUGAAGAUGGUGCCAGCGUCGUGUGAGGACCUCUCAUCUCCUCGAGUUCCAUGGCCAGCACAGGUGAGCGUCCGCUACCACAAAACAGAGGUGUCGUGAGAGUCAAAAAAACUCAUGAAAAUAGCUAAAACCAUCAUGAAAAUAAUCCAUGACACGACACUCUAACGAAAAUCCUCUCACAAAUAUGGUGCCAUCAAAAUACCAUUUUCAUGAGAGUGAACUGUCAUGAUUUUAUUUCGUGAGAGUAUUUCCUAUCAAUGACCUCCACGAAAUACUUUGUGCCACCAGGUCUUCAAGAUCAUUUUCAUGAGAGCCGAACGUCACGAAAGGUCCGCCACAAAUGUUUUUCCUGGGAGCCUCUAACUCUCAUCAAAAGCAUGUGGGCCGCCGCGAAAAACAGCCUGACCAAAUGACAAUUUUCAUUUUCAUGUGCUCUUACCGCCAUGAAAAUGGUCAUUUUCAUGAGAGUUGAUGAAACAAAAAAAUAGUGCCAUUUUCAUGAGAGUUCAAGCAACCAGGAAAAGGCACUAAUAAACAUCCAGAUCCCAUCCAGCACACAUCCAUGCACAUAUAUAACCCACAUAUUGCUCCAGCAACAUCCAUGCAUAUACAAGAUCCAAAUGUCUUGGUAUGAACCUACAUGCAUGUGAUGAACCAGUAACCUGCAAAAAGAGCUCAUAGGAUCUUGUCCUCAUAUUGUAGCUGUGAAAUUCUUGCAAGUAGUGUUGCAAUCAGUUCACUUUGAACCAAAAGAGCUCAAAGGAUCAUGUCCUCAAAGUUCCUCUUAAAGCUUAUGGGUUUGCUGGUGGAACUGGAAGGGCUUGAUGCAGCAUGCCAUUCUGCAAUAGAGAAAAAUUUAGAAAGCUGUACUAGUUAAAAUUGGAUGCAGCAGAGACACAUGAAACUAGUAUUUAUACAAUUCUAUAUAUAUAAUAAUUUGUCCCCUAAAUUUUUAGGAUCCUCUCGACGGUGGUGAGUCUUCCAGUAAGGCAAUUGAAUGUCCAUCGUGAUAAAAUUCUCCUUUGGAUUUAUCAUCUUCUCAACCAGAAAUCCUAGGAGUUCAUCCUUAAGCCUUACCAGUUGUAAUUUGGAAAUAUGUGAAAGUUAAACGAACAAUUAAAAUCUAAGGAUCCUUAUCAUCAUUUCCAUACGUUUGCGAAUUAAAAUAAUGAAGGAUACAAUGUUAGGUGAAAAUUCAAGAAACAAAAUUUUGUAUAGAGAUAAUGGUCCGACAUUAUUACAAGUUAAAGUUGUUUUAAAUAUCCUUGUAAUCUUCCUUUGGUUUCCUCGACGAUUCCAAGACAGUAACCUUGCUUCUAUCAAUGAUAAUUAUAAGGAGAACCCAAUGAAAACUGUGUAUUCAUAUUAGAACUAACUAAGGUUAAUUCGGAUAGGAAAGGAAAUCAAAAAUAGAUGGUACCCACACUUACUUAAAGUUGUAGGGUAGUAGUAUGUAAUGCUUGUAAUUCUGUUGCUCCAAGAAUUUGUAUAUGUGGUUCAAUGUAGACUUUGGUUGAUCCUGUAUCUGCUGUUGGUUGAAUAAGUGUUUCUAACCAUUUCUAGCCGUUAGAACUGGGACUAAAGGGAGCUCUUAGUGCUGGUUGAUAUUACUAGUCGGGACUAAAGAGCCCCCGUUAGAGUUGGUUUUCGGACGUGGAACUAACCACUCCUUUAGUCUCAAGUCCAAAAAUGAUUGAGACAUUUGUUGCUGGAUGGAACACUAGUAGAGAAUUGGCUUUCGAUGCGCCCCCUUUUGUCCCGGUUUAAAGUUGGACUGGGACAAAAGAGGGUGCGCCACGGUAGGUAAAAAUGGAGGGGGGAGUUAGUCCCGGUUGGUAAUUGCAACCGGGACUAGAGGCCCCCCUUUAGUCCCGGUUGCAAUGGCUAGCUGGGGGGCGUCGGUGGCGGCACCUUUUUGUCCCGGUUGGAGUCUCCAACCGGGAUAAAAGGUCCACCCUUUUAUCCCGGUUGGAGGCUCCAACCGGGACAAAAAGUUUAGUCCCGGUUGGAGCUUCCAACCGGGAUAAAAGGGUGUCCCUUUUGUCCUAGUUGGAGCCUCCAACCGGGACUAAACUUUCAACCGGGACAAAAGGUGUGGUUGGAGUUUUUAACUGGGAUAAAAACUCAUCCCCCAUUAUAUACCAAGACAGAGGACUUUCUUCCUCCUCCAGCCCGAGCCAGUCCAGCACAUUCACAGAGAGUUGACCUUCACCUACUCUCCGGUGGUGCCGAAGCAAGGAGGUGCUGCCCGAAGUUUUUUCCCUCAUUUUCGUGGGAAUUUCACUCAGCUAACACAAGUGUUGUGAAGGUUUGCUACUUCAUCCUCGUUUAUGCUUUGAUUUAUGCUUUGGAGAUGGAAAGAUUAUUUGUUAGAAUGUGAUGAAGUAGAAAAUGGAGAGAAUAUUUUGAGCUAGAAUGUGAGGGAGAUUGAUGUGUCAUAUAUAGUAUGCAUUCUUGCAGUGGUUUAAGAAUGAUGCUACCUUGUCCAGACAAUUUAUCUUAUCAAAUUCAAUAUAGUUUUUCAAAUCCAUACUUGUUGAACUUGCAUACCGUGUUCAUCUCUACGAGGAUAUUCUCUGCCGAGCAGCAACGUAUGUCAAGAAGGAGGUUCGAUUCUACGAGGAAGAGUGGAUACGGACAUCGUGACCGUGUCCCCUUUUCCGUAGCAUCUAACCUCUUUCAUGAUGAAGUGCGGUGCCGCCCAGUUGAGAACAUGCUCGCGAGAUGAACACAGUAUGCAAGUUCAACAACUUCUGCAGUAGUAAGGAAAGAAUUUUUGUACAUAGAUGACUUCUGCUACUUGUUGAACUUAUCAAAUUCAAGAAGGUUUUUCAAAUCCAUACUUGUUGAACUUGCAUACCGUGGUCAUCUCGCAGAGGAUGUUCUCCGCCGAGCAGCAACGUAUGUCAAGAAGGAGGUUCGAUUCUACGAGGAAGAGUGGAUACAGACAUCGUGACCGUGUCCCCUUUUCCGUAGAAUCGAACCUCUUUCAUGACGAAGUGCGGUGCCGCCCAGUUGAGGACAUGCUCGCGAGAUGAUCACGGUCUUUAAGUUUAACAACUUAUGCAGUGUUAAGGUAAUAAUUUUUGUACAUAGAUGGCUUCUGCUACUGGAGAAAGUGGCGAUGGUGGGGGUGAUCGUGGUUCCUCUUUCGGCAAGGGGAAAAUCAUAGUUGGCCCUCAGCAUAAGCCAAAGAAAAAGAGCGCACUGGAAAAAGCAAUGCUUCGUUAUUUGCAGCAACGUCAUGAAGAAGUUGUUGCCGCGGGUCAGGAACCUCCUUUUGGUCGUCGUUAUGCUCCACCCUUAGUCCCGGGUGUUUCACAUCCACUUAGUACUACCGUUUCAGGCGGCACAAAUAAACCUAAGGAUGAGGCUAGGUCAGCGGAACUUUCGUCUUCACUGUCCAAGGAUGCUUAAAGUCCUCCUAGAUAAUAACCAGUGGAUGGCUUGUUGUAUUGUAUCAUGUUGUUUGGAUCUUUAAUUUAAAUAUGUGUAUUUGGAUCUUCAUGUUGUUGUAUUGUACCAUGUUGUUUGGAUCUUUAAUCAAUUUUCACACGUAAUCCAUUGUCAAGUGUAAUCCAUUUUCAUGCAUAAUAAGAUGCAGAUGGACCGGCAAUGGAUGUAUAAUGCAGACAGGCAGAGCAAGGUGUUUAUUGAUGGCUUGCAUUAUUGUCUCGAAGUGGCCAAAGCGAACAAGCCAGAGAAUGGGUUCGUAUGUUGUCCAUGCUUCCAAUGCAAUAACAAGAAGGAGUAUUCAUAGGAUUCCUGGGGGACUAUUCACAGCCACUUGUUUAAAUACGGUUUCAUACUUAACUAUUUGGUUUGGACCAAGCACGGUGAACGAGGGGUCGUAAUGGAAGAUGGCGAGAAGGAGGAGGAAGAUGACACCAUUCCAGACUGGGUUGUAGGCCAAGCUUUUGCAGGUACUACAAUGGGCGAGGCUCAUGAAGAUGAGUUUGCAGAAAAUGGCCCUAUUGAUGACUUUGGUCAGGUGAUACGAGAUGCAUACAGAGAUUGCGAAAUUGAGAAGGAAGCAGCAAAGUUGCAGCGCAUGAUAGAUGAUCACCAAAAAUUAUUGUACCCAGGUUGCCAGCUGGGCCAUAAAAAACUAGGUACGACACUAGAAUUUGUGCAAUGGAAGGCAAAAAAUGGUGUGUCCGAUAAGGCAUUUCAGGGGAUGUUGACCAUUGUCAAGAAGAUUCUUCCCGAGAAUAAUGAAUUACCGUCCACAACAUAUGAAGCUAAACAGAUUAUUUGCCCUCUCGGAUUGGAUGUUCAGAAGAUACACGCAUGCCCUAAUGACUGUAUCCUCUAUCGUGGUGAUGACUACGAGAAAUUGGAUGCUUGUCCCGUGUGCGAAGCCCUGCGGUAUAAGAUUAGGUGAGAUGAUCCUUGUGAUGUCGAGGGGCAGUCUCCCAAUAAGAGAGUUCCCGUGAAGGUGAUGUGGUAUUUCCCUAUAAUACCACGCUUGAAGCGCUUGUUCAGGAAAAAGGCGAAUGCUAAGUUGAUGUGAUGGCACAAAGAAGACCGUAAGGAAGAUGAGAUGCUGAGACACCCCGCAGAUGGGGCACAGUGGAGAUCAAUUGAUAGAGCAUUCUCGGACUUUGAAAGUGAAGCAAGGACAUAAGGUUUGGUUUAAGUACUGAUGGAUUCAAUCCAUUCGGUGAGUUGAGUAGUGGCCAUAGUACUUGGCCUAUGACCCUAUUUAUGUUGAACCUUCCUCCUUGGCUAUGCAUGAAGUGGAAGUUCAUUAUGAUGCCGGCGCUUAUCCAAAGUUCAAAACAACCCGACAACGACAUUGACGUGUACCUAAGACUGUUGGUUGAUGACCUUUUACAGCUCUGGAAGGAAGAAGGUGUACGUGUGUGGGAUGAGGAUAGACAAGAGAUCUUUAAUCUACGAGUAUUGUUGUUUGUAACCAUCAAUGAUUGGCCUGCACUGAGUAACCUUUCGGGACAGACAAAUAAGGGAUAUCGGGCAUGCACCCACUGUUUAGACGACACAGACAGCAUGUAUUUGAAGCAUUGUAAGAAGGUCGUCUACAUGGGUCAUCGUCGAUUUCUCCCUGCUCACCACCAGCUGAGAAAGAGCAGGAUGCAUUUCAAAGGGGCGCCAGACCAUCGUAAAAAACCUGCACACCAUAAUGGAAAGUGUGUCUUCAAGAUGAUGAAGGAUGUAAAUGUAGUCUUUGGAAAGGGUCUUGGUAGCCAACCUAUUCCAAACGACAAUAACGGACAUGCACCCAUGUGGAAGAAAAAGUCAAUAUUUUGGGAGCUACCUUAUUGGGAAAUCCUAGAGGUUCGCAAUGCAAUAGACGUGAUGCACCUGACGAAGAAUAUUUGCAUGAACGUGCUAGGCUUCAUGGGUUUUUAUGGGACCUCAAAAGACACAUUGGAAGCACGACAGGACCUGAAAGCCAUGGGGCAACGAGAUGACCUACAUCCGAAAAAGAGAGAUAAUGGAUAGCACUACUUACGUCCUGCCAGUUACACUCUGAGCAAGGAAGAGAAGGAUAGCAUGUUUGAAUGCUUGAAUAGUAUGAAGGUCCCGUCUAGGUACUCCUCGAAUAUAAAGGGAAUAAUAAAUAUGAAAAAAAAGAAGUUUAUAAAUCUCAAGGCCCAUGACUGUCACAUGUUGAUGACCCAGUUGCUUCCGGUUGCACUGAGGGGUGUUCUACUAGAAAAUAUCCAGUUGCCGCUCGUAAAGCUAUGUGCGUUUCUAAAUGCGAUUUCACAGAAGGCAAUCGAUCCAUCCAAGCUAUCAAAGCUACAGAACGAUGUGGUGCAAUGUCUUGUCAGUUUUGAGUUGUUAUUUCCACCAUCCUUCUUCAAUAUUAUGACGCACUUACUGGUUGACCUAGUAAAAGAGAUUGGUAUUCUCGGACUUGUAUACCUGCACAAUAUGUGGCCUUUCAAGUGUUCAUGGCAGUCCUAAAAAACUAUGCUCUUAAUCGUGCCCAUCCAGAAGGAAGCAUCGCCAAGGGAUAUGGAACAGAGGAGGUGAUCGAGUUUUGUGUUGAUUUUAUUGAUUCAAUUGACUCGAUUGGGGUUCCAACUUCACGCCAUGAGGGGAGGCUCCGAGGAAUGGGCACCCUUGGAAGGAAAUCAAGUUUGAGCAAUGAUACUGAUUUGUUCGACAAGGCACACUACACGGUUCUACAACAGUCAUCCUUUGUGUCUCCAUAUAUUGAGCAGCACAGGCAGAUGGUAGUUUCCAAAAACCCGACCAAAUCCGAUGCUUGGCUUACCCGUCUUCACAUGGAAACUUUUCCCUCCUGGUUGCGCCAACAACUUAUGGGUAACUCUGAGAUUCACCCACAGCUUGCCUGGUUAGCCAGGGGACCUGCUAGCACAAUUGUGAAAUUUCAAGGCUAUGAGAUAAAUGGUUAUACAUUUUACACGAGAGCCCAGGACCAGAAAAGCACGAAACCAGAAUAGUGGUGUCCGCAUACAUGCCAUGGACAGAAAUAAUAGCAAGGAGUCGUAUUAUGGUUUCAUAUAGGAGAUAUGGGAACUUGAAUACGGACCGUUGUACAUCCCUCUAUUUCUUUGUAAUUGGGUGAAGCAAACUGCCGUAACCAAAGAUCAGUACGGAAUGACAAUAGUAGAUCUGAGCAAGACUGGAUACAGUGAUGACCCAUUCGUACUUGCCAACAAUGUGCAACAGGUGUUCUAUGUGAAGGACAUGUGUAGCAAACCCAAGAGAAAUCCAGAAGAGACAUGGGAGCCAAAGUGCCACAUAGUUUUUCCAGGUAGAAGAAAAAUCGUGGGAGUCGAGGAUAAAACAAACCAAUCAGAUGAUUAUGAUUAGUUUGAUGGCAUGCCUCCAUUCGCCGUUGAAGUUGAUCCAAGCAUCCUGCUAUCCAAAGAAGAGGCUCCGUACUUACGCCGCGAUCAUGAUCAAGGAACUUUCGUGAAGAAGAAAUUCUACAACGUUGUAUUGUAAUGCGCUAAAUUUACAUGACCUUUGUGUAGUAAUUGAUACAAUUUUUAAUUUACCCUAUGUAUGAUUUGAUGUGUUCUUAAAUUUGUUAGGUGAAGAUUUAUUAGAUAAACAUGAACAAUGUUAACCACAUACAUACAUGGAUUUUUCUGCGCAUUGAAAUUAUUUAAUGGAAUAAUUUCUUGAUCACAGCGAUGUAGUAAAAUAAAUAUUUUAGAGCCUAAAUGAACUGGUAUAGAAUUAAUGACUAACUCACACUUAUUGUCAAUUUACUCGCUAAUUAAAUAUAUUUUUGCAUGUACAAAAUAUGUGAAGGUUUUUGUUUUUCAUCCUGAAUUGCAGUGAAAAGAUAAAUAAAAUCCAUUUCCAAAAAACAGGCGGGAGAAGAAAACUGGGAAAAGGACCUUUUGUCCCGGGUGCCAACAGAAACCGGGACAAAAAGCCCCCCCCCUUUUAUCCCGGUUGGUGGUGGCACCCGAGAUAAAAGGGUAGGCUCCAAGCCCCACUUGGCGGACGCACCCUUUUGUCCCGGGUCCCGUCACCAACCGGGAUAAAAGGGGGGGCCUUUUAUCCCGGUUGGUGAGGGGACCCAGGACAAAAGGCCCUUUAGUCCCGGGUGUCAUUACGAACCGGGAUAAAAGGGGGGUUAAAAGGCACUAUAGCCCCUUCUACCCCCCACGCCAGUUACAGUUAGCAAAAUUUUCACCAAGAUCCCGCGCGCACUCUGCUCCGUCGCUGCCCGUCCGCCUUCCUCGCCAGCCGUCAUCGUCGUCGUCCCCCAUUGCCCCGGCCGUCGUCGUCCCGCCGGCUGACCGUGCCCAGAUAGCCUCCUCCUCCAUCGCCCCGGCCCGCCUCGAUCCUCCUGCGUCGUGCCCGGCCCCUACCUCAUCGACGCCGGCCACCUCCAUCGCGGGGCCUCAUCGCCGCCUCCAUCCUCGUCGCCACCUCGACGCCCUGGGUCGCCGCCUCGUCGCCCCUCGUCGCUGCCUCGUCGCCGUCCUGCCUCCGCCGUCUCGCCGUCCCGCGCGCCUUCGCUCCGUCGUCGCCUCCGCCGUCCCACCGCCCCAGCCACCGCCAUCCCGCCACCCCGGCCACCUCGUCGCCCCGACCACCGUCGACCGCGCGUGAGGUCCGCCGCACCGGCACUGGCGCCGGGAGUACCGCCUUGCUGACGCAAGCCCACCGGCUUGCGUCAACAAGGGCCUUUUUUAAGUUAGAAAAUAAAUAGAAAGGAGUAGUAAUUAGGUAGAAAUUCAAUAGAUUUUUGUAUAUGUGUUACAAAAUCAAAUUAGUGUAAAUUAGUUGUAAUUAGGUUCGUCGCUCUGCCUAGGUUAGAAAUGAAUCGUGUUUCGUCGUGGUUCCGUCCCCGCCUCCGCCGUCCCGCCACCCUGACCGUCGCCGUCCCAACCUAGGCACCGUCUGUGGUUCCGUCCCCGCCUCCGCCGUUCCGCCUCCAUCGCAAAUUCAUGUUAUUGCUAGAAAUUCCAAUAAAUAUGAACAAAUUAGUAGAAAUUUGGUAGAAAUUAAUCAUUGCUGCGGCCACCUCGCUCCACAAAUUCAUGUUAUUGCUAGAAAUUCAUAAAAAUUCAUGUUAUCACUAGAAAUUCGUACAAAAUUCAUGUUAUUGCUAGAAAUUCGUAAAAAUUCAUGUUAUUGCUAGAAAUUCGUACAAAAUUCAUGUUAUUGCUAGAAAUUCGUACAAAUUCAUGUUAUUGCUAGAAAUUCGUCACAAAGUACUACUAAUUUGCAAAAAUUUGUAUAAAUAUUCCGGACUUUGUGGGAUUCAUGUUAUUUUCUGAUUUCAUGUAUAUACCCUUAUGUACAUAUAACUAAGGAGAUUUCUAUGACUUUCAUGUAUGUUUCAAUCAAUAGUUGAAAUGGCAGACGAUGAGACCGCAAGGUAUCUCAUGGAGCAGAUAAUCGCUGGUGAUGGUAGUGGCGACAACCUUCCACUAUCGUACACCGAUGAAGAGGGCACCCAGGCGGACAUGUUCCUCAACAUGUCCGCCGAUGGGAAUGAAGAGCAAAAGCCCCAGCAACACCUUGCCGGGGCGGAAGGUUCCGGCGAGGUAUAUAUAACGAUUCUUGUAUUGUUUCACACCACCGUUACUACUACGUACUAAUUAACGAAUCAUGAACCGUUAGCCCUCUGGAUCGACGCAAGGGCAGAAGACACGAGGUCGUACAAAGGUGAUGGAAGGGAGGCUUGUCAUCACGGAAGUGAUAGAAGAGGGCAGGCCGGUUGCUCCCGAGAAAGUAGCAAAGAAGUACGUGAGUCAGAUCGGGGCAAUCGUCCGGGACAACGUGCCUAUCAGCAUCAGAGAAUGGAAGGGCAGAAGCACUAAUCCGUACGCCCUCCUGGAGACAGAAAGAAUAUGCUGUGGGAAGAUGUCAAGAGACAUUUCACAUUCACCGAAGGAUAUAUUGAGAAGGAUGUGAAAGCGUGGACGCUUAAGAAGAUGGCUACACAAUUUCCAGACAUUUAAGAAGAUGCUAGAUACCCACUACAUUAAGAAGGGCCGAACUCCAGACUUCAACGCGUGGUCAAAGUUGAGGGACCACUAGGAUGCAUUUGUUGAAUAUAAGAGGAGUGAAUACGAUGUGAAAAAGAUCACGACCAACACAACAAAUGCUAGUCAGAAGGGCUACCAUCAUCAUCUGGGGCGAGAUGGUUAUGGCUCAGCAAUUCCCAAGUCGAGGAAGAUGGAACAAGAUCUGAUUGAACGGGGAAUCGUACCGGCAACUAUUGAAUGGCCCGAACGAUCAAAAAAUUGGUACUACGCUCAUGGAGGCUCCCUGUGCCAAGAGGAUGGGACGUUGAUUUUCAAUAACACAAUACGUUAGAAGGCCAAACAUCUUGUGAAGAACAUUGAAGAUUCUAAGGCUGGGAGGUUGAAGGUGGACCGAGAAAAUGAUGAGCUCACAUUGGCCCUUGGUAAUCCAGAGCACCCAGGAUGUUGCCGAGGGUUCGGGGUCGUUCCGUGGAAGUUUGUUUUCCGAGGCGACAGCGCCUCGUACAGAAGCCGGAAGCGAAGAAAGGAACAGAUCGAGGAGAGCUGGUGGCAGAUGCUAGAAUCCAAAGUGCAGGCACAAGAACAAAGAAUGAUGGAGGAAAUCAAUCGUCGAGUGGCCCACGCAGUUGUGGAGUUGGCCCAAUCUGGAGCAUUGCCGAAUCCUAACAACGCCAGCCCUUCUCAAUGCCUCUUGAGCAGUUAUGCUUCUACAGGGGUCCCCGAUGCGCACACGCCCAGGUUACCCGUGGAGGAGCAACGGUUCCCCGUGGAUGCCAUCACGCAACACACCACAUGUGAGCUGCAUGCACCGGUCGGCAACCUCACUAUUAAGGUAUACUUAUACAUAAUAUUUAUGCAAUCUUGUCAAUUGAUCCACGCCUCGAUAUCGGAGUUUAACUUGUUUACUUCUACUAUAUGUACAGGUAGCGUACGGGAGUGCGUUAGCAACCCUGGCGGGGCAGAGCAGUCAUGGCAUGAAGAUUCCACCUGGCUACGCUAGCGUCCGCGUAGAGCAAAUAGUUGAUAGCCAAUAUGAAGGUCUAGAGCUCGACCUCCCGGGAGGUGACAGGGAAAGAACACUGGCAGAUGCGCUUCAUGGGAUCAUUCUAUGGCGAAAACGCUACAUCAUUAUUCCCGGCACGGAGCCAUCUCCUCAGAGCUCAAGACCACUCCCCGUAGAUCCCCAGCAGCGACCUUCUCCUCAUAGCUCGAGACCGUCAUCUCCUGCACAACCUGCUCCAGGACCGUCCCUUCCAUCUAUAUCAAGGUCUCCAUCUCCACCACAUCCUGGUGGUGGGAGCGACGACGACAAUAACAACACCCCUUCCUGAUCACCAUCGCCGGCACCAAGAGCGGCCCCCAUGAAGGAACCUGCACCACCACUAAAAAAGUCACGAGCACCGCCUCCCAAGCAAAGACAGAGAAAGAAGAAAACAAAGGAGCCUGAAGUGACUCGUAAGGAACGCUGGGAGACAAUGUCUCAUGCGGAACAGUGGGCAGAAAUCCAACAAGAGGCCAGUGAGUGGUUCAAGAAACAAGCCGAAGAAAAAAAAGCAACGGAGAUGCAGCCACCGCCAGUAAAUCGAAGAGAUUUAAACUUUUUUAUCAGGAUGGAAGAAGGAGCCAAGAAAAGGAUACCACUCUUAUCAAACUAUGAACGGGCUUUAGUAAAGGCUGAUGAAAAGGAUAAAAGGAAAGGAAAGUCAUCUUCCAGCGGUGCUGUCCCCGACCUCAGCCAUUUAUCAAAAAAAGAUGCUCAACGGGUAAAAGCAAUGCCCUUGGAUCAACAAGCAGAAGUAUUGAAGUUCAUGCAAGAAACAGGUCUGGGACUUGAUGAAUGCCUAGGGCAAGUUGAGACGCCAACUGCACCGCCCCCUGAGCCGAGAUGGCCUUAUGAGCUAGGCAAACCUCUAGUAAAGCCUUCAUUGGUACGAAAGCUAUCAACAAAGAUGUACGCAUUCCAUCAAUGGUACAUGAUGGCAUCCGCUGACUCAAGGGAGAUGCUCGGCCUGAAGGUAAAACCGAUGGAUUUUCACGACAGAGGCGAGAAAGUGCUGUGGCUAGACUUCAAGGAUAUAUACGAAGUGUACCAUCAUGAUGCCAUAGACGUCUCUCUGAUCCGCGCUUGGGUUCUGUAAGUGUCCGUUUAUCUCUACAUGUAAAUUUUGGCGUGCGUCACCGUACUAACUUCGUCUUCCAUUUCAUGUAGGAUGCUAAUUCAGACAUGCCGCCGAGAGGCGUACCUACAUAUAGGCUUCAUGGAUCCAUCUGUAGUUAACCAACAGCAGAUACAAUUAGCAUCGGAGAAAACCUUGGUGGAAGUAUACAAUUUCCUAGACAAACAAACAUUCAAGGAUUUCAUACUAUUUCCAUACAACUUCAAGUAAGUGUGUGUAUACCGUCUACUUUCGAUGUCUUUUUCCUUAUCUCUACAUGUUAGUUAGCUCUAAUAUGCAUGAACAUUUUACGCACGCAGCUUCCACUGGAUCCUUAUUAUAAUUGAGCCUCAAAGAAGCCACGUCACUGUCUUCAAUUCGUUGAGGAAAGAUCCAGUGGAGCACCAAGAAAUGCAACACAUGCUAGGCUUGUAAUAAUUCUGGACCUUUAUCUCUAUGCAAAAGUUUGUUUCCUAAAUUCUAUCCCUGUUACACUAUAUCAUUCAUUAUUCUAAUCCACAGCGUAUGGAAACAAUUCAUAAGGACACAAAAAGGUCCAUUCAAAGAAAAACUUACAUGGAACACAGACUUCCCGGUACAUAUGAAGUCUGCACAUUUAUUACAUUGUAUAACACGAAUAUUUCAUAACUUAUUUUUUUCCGUAUUGAAGUGCUUAAGACAGGAACUCGGAAAUAAUCUAUGUGGCUACUACAUCUGUGAGCACAUGCACAGUUUUAUGGGACCCAAGGGACUAAAGAUGACGCCGCACAACUUUAAAGUACGUAAAAUAAAACUAUUACUAGUUAAUUAUUUUCUAGCUCCUUAUAUGUAUUUGUUCACGUAACAUUCACAAAUUUCCAAAUUAUAGAUGUUAAAUAUUCAACAAGGACUCUUGAAGGAAGAAAGAGUAGCGGCAAUAUGUGAAGGUCUCAUUGGAUUCCUAAUGGACAAGGUGGUAGAUCCAAAAGGAGAAUUUUAUUUUGAUGGACGACAAUUAGACACUCUGAUCAGCAACACCUCGAUGGGAAGAUUGUAGAUAGAUACUUUGAUUUAUUUGUAUAUAUAAUACGCGCUAAUUAUGAUCGAUUUGUACUAGUUGAAUUCUGUAUAUGAAUUGUGUAUAAGAAUUGUGUAUAUAUAUAGUAACUGUAUAAUUACAAAUCCCAUUCGUUUAAAUACUAGUUAAUUUCAUUCUAAAAAAAUCUCAACUACUUAAGGUUAACAAAAGGGCUGCGGUACUACGUACGUGAUGCAUGCAUGAAAAAUUCAGGCGCCAGGCAGGUGCCAUGCAGGGCAUCAUUUAGUCCCGUUUGGAAUCCAGCCGGGACUAAAGGGUAACCCUUUACUCCCGGUUGGGAAACCCAACCGGGACUAAAGGGGGACCGUUACUCCCGGUUAAAAGACCCGGGACUAAAACCCCCCCUUUUGUCCCGGUUGGCUUAUCCCGGAUAAAUUUUCGGGAGAUAUGCACCCUACCAACCGGGACUAAAGGCCAAUUCUCCACUAGUGGAAGGUCCUUUCUCUACCAUGAAUAUUGCCAGAAAGAAUUGAAAGAGACCGCUUGCUAAAAACAUGUCAUAGAUGCGGACCAAGCUACCAAGGAGGUAGACCAAACAUGAUACACACCAUGCGUACCUUGCUGUGCAGACUAUGCAUGGACAAGAUACCCGACCACAUGUUGGCUUUGGUCACAUCAAAAGAAUCAUGUAGGCCAUUAAUAAACUACUUGAAGCGUCAUUCCGUAUCUUAUAUCCAUCAUCUGCAUUACAUUACAUUAAAUAUUAUUAACUAUUUGAAUAAAAUGAACCAAUUUAAAAAUAAUGAAUUGUACAUUACUACAAAAAGCCCUAGCACUGCCAGUUCCAAAAACAUCAUUGUUGACGGCCGUUAAGUACCAAAUAUGACGGUCAAUAUCCUAAAGAAUAAAGGACAAUUGGCAUUUCUUACACACAUAUUUGGUUUCGAAUAAUGUAGUUCUACAUGUCCUUGGAGAUUAUUUGGGUGUGGGUGAAAUAAUACAAAAAGAAGGAGAAAACACACUCCCAUGGCAAAGAAACAUAACUCCGACCAAUGAGAGAUAGCCACAGGGGCAGCACAUGGAUCCAUGGGCCCACAAACUGCAUCAAACCAUCUUACAAGGCGGGUAGCACCCACAACUGUCAUUAGGACCCACCUGGAAGUCUAGCAAAGAAGAAGGUUGUGAGUGGGGCCACGAGGGGUUCGGUUGAAUCAUCUCUAGCUCCCUUCAUCCCCAGCUGGCGCGUGGCGGUGGUUCAUGGUGUCCCGACAUCGGUUAGAGGACAUUCCCCCAAAUAUUCCUCCUGUAAACCAGCUCUAUGAACCUAUAAAUAGAGGGGUGUGCUCUCCAUUCCAACACACACCACAAGUUGAAGCACUCUCUCCCUCUUUAGUUUCCAAGUUUACGGAGAUAGGCUGGAGUAGCUCUGCUAAAGGUUCCAAGUCCACUUGGAGUUAAGCGUAUGUCUCUUGUAUCAUUAUUUCCUAGAGAGACUUUAUGCUAUUCAAGUUAUUUAUCUUCUUCAUAUAGUGUUAUGCUUAGUUCUUAUAUGCAUGAGUUAGUCUAAUACCCUUGCUCUAUUGAUAUGCUCAGCUUAUGUGCUCGUAUGCUAGUCAUGUACCCUUGCUGUCAUAGUAUAGGGUUAUAUGCUGUCAUGUGUGCCUAUAGACCUUGCUACAGUAUAUACUUGUUGUGUAUACAUACCAUUUGUAUAUACAUUAUUACAAGUUAAGGUAGUUUUAAAUAUCCUUGUGUUGACAACCAAAGCUUGAUCUUUUGUUUCCAUUGCCAGCGGAUUCAUCGGCUCAGAGUAGGAUCAAGACAUCAAGUUGAUGGAGUUCUUUAUAUUUCAAGAGGAGUCAUGGAGUUCUUUAUAUUUCAAGAGGAGUUGAUGGUGCUUUCAAUAUUGCAACCAGACAUCAUUGGCUCUGAAGACACCGAAUCAUCGGAGUUCUAUGAUCAGUUUCGGAACAUGAAGCCUUCAUACUCCGAAACUGGGGGGCCUGUGUUGACACCGAAUUAUCGGACUUCUAUAAUUAGUUUCGGAACAUGAAGCCUUCAUACUUCGAAACUGGGGGGUAUGUGUUUACACCAAAAUUUAGAAAUGUGCUCUGAAAGGAAGGACCUGGGAGAUCUAUUGGCUGAAAUACAAAUCCAUCGAAACUAGCCUUAUGCUAAGAGAUCAGAAUAUUGUACAAAGUCUAGAAAGUUCUAUUUACAUCUAAGUAACUCGAUAACUAGCCUUACGCUAAGAGAUCAGAAUAUUGGACAAAGCCUACAAAGUUCUAAUAUAGGUAACGUAAUGACCAGGUGAGGAUAGUUACAAGCUCGCUUGAGAUCGAAGCCGAUGUAGCCCUGCGCGCAAGAAGAAACUCACCUAUUUCUACUCUACUCUUACUCCUAGGGUUUGAUGGCGUGGCGUCAAAAGAUUGUAUUGAUUGAUUGAUUAUUUGAUACAAAGCUCAUGGGCCUAUAUUUAUACCCUUGAGAAAGCUAAAAUCCUAAUCAGUUAUGACAUGAAUCGUGACAGAAAAUCUAACUAAAGAUAGAUCUCCAUGCUUUCCCUUAUUUGGUGGAGUCGAUUUCACUUCAUAUCGGAUCCCUCCCGAUCUUCUAUCGGCUUCUAGCAUCCGGUCAUCUGCGACUGGCCUUGGUCAACAUCAGGUGUCAACAGACUUAUUUCUUCUACAAGUUCAUCGGCUGUCAGAGCCUUGUCUUAGUCAGUUGACUCUAGUAAAAAAUCGAUGUCAAUACAUGCCCCCCAAUUUUUGAAUAAAAUAUUAUAUUUCAAAAUUCUCUUCUCUUGUCAACAGCUUUUGAAAGAAAAAGAGUCACUGCUGCAAUCAUAAUCUUUUUCCCCGGGUUUUGUGAUAGCACCCUCCUCAUUUUAAGGGAUUCACCAUGUGGAAAUUAUAAUAUAACUGCUUCACCCAUUUCGUUUUCUUCACCAAACCAACUAUUGUCAGCCGCUACAACCAAAAAUCAAUUAUUCCCUUCACAUGCCUAGCGACUGCAUCCAUCACUCAUCGUCACCAUUAGUCUCCAUGUGUCAAGGCUUCUUCAACCAGCAAUGGCGACAUUAUCUUCCAUUCCACAGGUACCAUGUAUCCUAGCCAUUCCUUUCCCCUUUCAACCUGAAAUCCAAUCUAGUCACUAUAUAUCAAACCUGUGUUCUUAAUCAAUACUUGCCCCCUUGUACUUAGAAACACCCUUUUGAUCCCCAUAUCCGAUACGCAAGCAGAAUACUUUCUAGGCCCCAUGGGUAGUGAAGACCCAAUAGAAUCUAUUAAUGCUGAAAUACUUGGACAAAGUCUAGAAAGUUCUAUUUACAUCUAAGUAACUCGAUAACUAGCCUUACGCUAAGAGAUUUAAAUAUUGGAUAAAGCCUAGAAAGUUCUUAUAUAGGUAACUGAAAAGUGUGUUGACGCAAAAAUUGGAUGGUUGACUCCUGCGUACUAACACACGGAACCAGGGAGAAUCUGCUUAGCUACUGUUCGGGUUAUAGCCCUCUCGAUCCGUAGCGUGCCAGUUAAUCUGACCUGCUGAUUGACAAGUAAAAAUGUCAAAUUAAGAGCAAAUCAGCUGGUGUUCCGAAUCGCUCCACGGGACGUAUCAGUAGACAGCCGAUACGGGCAAACGACAAUCAGCUAGAUCAGCCGAUUUGCUCUUGUAUUUGACGUUUUACUUGUCCUUCUCAAUCAGCAGGUCAGAUUGACUCGCACGACGCAGAUCGAGAGGGCUAUAACCUAAACAAGAGCUAAGCAGAUUCUCCCGGGUUUCAUGUCUUAGUACACAGAAGUCAACCGUCUGAUUUUAUCAUCAACACGCUUUUUGGCACGCUCAGUGGGACCCGAUUCAUAUCUUAAUGGUAAUUGGUGAUCAAGUUUCAAACAACGUAUCCACUGGUAGAAAACUGAGCAUUAGUCCCGGUUGGUAAGGGUCAUAUCUCUCGGAUAUCCAUCCGGGAUAAACCAACCGGGACAAAAGGGGGGGGUCUUUAGUCCCGGGUAUUUUAACCGGGAGUAAAGGACCCCCUUUAGUCCCGGUUGGUGUCACCAACCGGGACUAAAGGGCCUGCCACGCCAGGCGCGGGACAGGCCCUUUAGUCCCGGUUGGUGACACCAACCGGGACUAAAGGGGGUCCCUUUAGUCCCGGUUGGAUUUCCCAACCGGGACUAAAGGGGUCCCCUUUAGUCCCGGCUCAAUUCCAACCGGGACUAAAUUGCGCUUGCAUGGCACUGGUGACGCCUGAAUUUUUCAUGCAUGCAUCACGUAUACGUAUAGUAGUACCGCGGCCCUUUUAAUUUGUUAACCUUGUAGUUGAGAUUUUUUUAGAAUGAAUUAAAUCAACUAGUAUUUAAACGAAUGGGAUUUGUAAUUACACAACUACUAUAUAUAUACACAAUCCUUAUACACAAUUCAUAUACACAAUUCAACUAGCUUAAUUAGUACAAAUCGAUCAUAUAUACAAAUAAAUCAAAGUAUCUUCCUACGAUCUUCCCGUCGUGGUGUUGCUGAGAGGAGUGUCUAAUUGUCGUCCAUCGUAAUAAAAUUCUCCUCUUGGAUUUACCACCUCGUCCAUUAUGAAUCCAAUGAGACCUUCACAUAUUGCCGCUACUCUUUCUUCCUUCAAGAGUCCUUGUUGAAUAUUUAACAUCUAUAAUUUGGAAAUUUGUGAAUGUUACAUGAACAAAUACAUAUAAGGAGCUAGAAAAUAAUUAACUAGUAAUAUAUUUAUUUUACGUACUUUAAAGUUGUGCGGCGUCAUCUUCGGUCCCUUGGGUCCCAAAAAACUGUGCAUGUGCUCACAGAUGUAGUAGCCACAUAGGUUAUUCCCGGGUUCCUGUCUUAAGCACUUCAGUGCGGAAAAAAAAUAAGUUAUGAAAUAUUCGUGUUAUACAAUGUAAUAAAUGUGCAGACUUCAUACGUACCGGGAAGUCUGUGUUCCAUGUAAGAUCUUCUUUGAAUGGACCUUUGUGUGUCCUUAUGAAUUGUUUCCAUACGCUGCGGAUUAGAAUAAUGAAUGACAUAGUGUAACAGGGAUAAAAUUUAGGAAAUAAAUUUUUGCAUAGAGAUAAAGGUCCAGAAUUAUUACAAGCCUAGCAUGUCUUGCAAUUCUUGGUAGUCCACCGGAUCUUUCCGUAACGAAUCAAAGACAGUGACGUGGCUUCUUUCAGGCUCAAUUAUAAUAAGGAUCCAGUGGAAGCUGCGUGCGUAAAAUGUUCAUGCAUAUUAGAGCUAACUAACAUGUAGAGAUAAGGAAAAAGACAUCGAAAGUAGACGGUAUACACACACUUACUUGAAGUUGUAUGGAAGUAGUAUGAAAUCCUUGAAUGUUUGUUUGUGUAGGAAAUUGUAUAUUUCGGCAAAGGUUUUUUCCGGCGCUAAUUGUAUCUGUUGUUGGUUAACUACAGAUGGAUCCAUGAAGCCUACAUGUAGGUACGCCUCUCGGCGGCAUGUCUGAAUUAGCAUCCUACAUGAAAUGGAAGAUGAAGUUAGUACGGUGACGCACGCCAAAAUUUACAUGUAGAGAUAAUAAACGGACACUUACAGAAUCCAAGCGCUGAUCAGAGAGACGUCCAGGGCAUCAUGAUGGUACACUUCGUAUAUAUCCUUGAAGUCUAGCCACAGCACUUUCUCCCCUUCACCGUGAAAAUCUAUCGGUUUUACCUUCAUGCCGAUCAUCUCCCUCGAUUUGGCGGAUGCCGUCAUGUACCAUUGAUGGAAUUCGUACAUCUUUGUUGACAGCUUCCGUACCAUUGCCGGCUUCACUAGAGGCUUGCCUAGCUCAUAAGGCCAUCUCGGCUCAGGGGGCGGUGCAGUUGGCGUCUCGACUUGCCCUAUGCAUUCUUCAAGUCCCAGACCUGUUUCUUCCAUGAACUUCAAUAUAUUUUCUUGUUGAUCCAAGGGCAUUGCUUUUACCCGUUGAGCAUCUUUCUUUGAUAAAUGGCUGAGGUCGGGGACUGAACCGCUGGAGGAUGAUUUUCCUUUUCUUUUAUCCUUUUCAUCAGCCUUUACUAGAGCCCGUUCAUAGUUUGACAAGAGUGGUAUCCUUUUCUUGGCUCCUUCCUCCAUCCUGAUAAAAAAGUUUAAAUCCCGCCGACUUACUGGCGGUGGCUCCAUCUCCCUUGCCCUUUUUAAUUCGGCUUGUUUCUUGAACCACUCACUGGCCUCUCGUUGGAUUUCUGCCCACUGUUCCGCAUGAGACAUUGCCUCAAAGCGUUCCUUGCGAGCCACUUCAGGGUCGACCUUUGUUUUCUUCUUUCGAGGCUGUCUUUGCUUGGGAGGCGGUGCUCGUGACUUCUUGAGUGGUGCUGCAGGUUCCUUCGAGGGGGCCGCUCUUGGUGCCAGCGACGGUGAUCGGGGAGGGGUGUUGUUAUUGUCGUCGUCGCUCCCAGCACCAGGAUGUGGUGGAGAUGGAGACCUUGAUAUAGAUGGAAGCGACGGUCCUGGAGCAGGAGAUGCCGGUCUCGAGGUAUGAGGAGAAGGUCGCUGCUCGGGAUCUACGGGGAGCGGUCUUGAGGUCUGAGGAGAUGGCUCCGUGCGGGAAAUAAUGAUGUAGCGUUUCUUCCAUAGAAUGAUCCCAUGAAGCGCAUCUGCCAAUGUCUUUUCCCCGUCGCCUCCCGGGAAGUCGAGCUCUAGACCUUCAUACUGGGCAUCUACUAUUUGCUCGACGCAGACGCUGGCGUAGCCUGUUGGAAUGUCCAUGCCAUGACUGCUCUGCCCUGCCAGCGUUGGUAACGCACUCCCAUACGCUACCUGUACAUAUAGCAGAAGUAAACAAGUUGAACUCCGAUCUCGAGGCCUGGAUCAAUUGACAAGAUUGCAUAAAUAUUAUGUAUAAGUAUACCUUAAUAGUGAGGUUGCCGACCGGUGCAUGCAGCUCACAUGAGGUCCGUUGCGUGAUGGCAUCCACGGGGAACCGUUGCUCCUCCACGGGUAACCUGGGCGUCUGCGCAUCGGGGACCCCUGUAGAAGCACAACUGCUCCCGAGGCGUUGAGAAGGGCUGGCGGUGUGAGGAUUCGGCAGUGCUCCAGAUUGCGCCAACUCCGCAACUGCGUCGGCCACCCGCCGAUUGAUUUCAUCCAUCAUUCGUUGUUCUAGCAUCUGCCGCCAGCUCUCCUCCAUCUGUUCCUUUCUUCGCUUCCGGCUUCUGUAAGAGGCGCUGUCGCCUCGGAAAGCGAACUUCCACGGAACCACCCCGAACCCCCGGCAACGUCCUGGGUGCUCUGGAUUACCGAGGGCCAAUGUGAGCUCAUCAUUUUCUCGGUCCACCCUCAACCUCCCAGCCUUGGAAUCUUCAAUGUUCUUCAUGAGAUGUUCGGCCUUCUCACGUAUUCUGUCAUUGAAAAUCAGCGUCCCAUCCUCUUGGCUUAGGGAGCCUCCAUGAGCGUAGUACCAGUUCUUUGAUCGUUCGGGCCAUUCAAUAGUUGCAGGUAUGAUUCCCCGUUCGAUCAGAUCUUGUUCCAUCUUUCUCCACUUGGGAAUUGCUGAGCCAUACCCACCUCGCCCCAAAUGAUGGUGGUAGCCCUUCUGACUAGCAUUUGCAACGUUGGUCGUGAUCUUUUUCACACCUUCUUCACUCCUCUUGUAUUCAACAAAUGCAUCCCAGUGGUCCCUCAACUUGGGCCACGCGUUGAAGUCUGGAGUUUUGCCCUUCUUGAUGUAGUGGGUGUCCAGCAUCUUCUUGAAUGUCUGGAAUUGAGUAGCCAUCUUCUUAAGUGUCCACGCUUUGACAUCCUUCUCGCUAUAAUCUUCGGGGAAUGUGAAAUGCCUCUUCACGUCUUCCCACAGCAUAUUCUUUUCUGUCUCUGGAAGGGCGUACGGAUUAUCGCUUCUGCCCUUCCAUUCUCUGAUGCUGAUAGGCACGUUGUCCCGGACAAUUGCCCCGAUUUGACUAACGUACUUCUUUGCGACUUUCUCGGGAGCAACCGGCCUGCCCUCAUCUGUAACUUCGGUGAUGACAAGCCUCCCUUCCAUCACCUUUGUACGACCUCGGGUCUUCUGCCCUUGUGUCGAUCCGGAGGGCUAACAGUUUAAGAUUCGUUAAUUAGUACGUACUAGUAGCGGUGGCGUGAAACAAUACAAGAAUGGUUGUAUAUACCUCGCCGGAACCUUCCGCCACGGCAAGUUGUUGCUGCGGCUGUUGCUCUUCAUUCACAUCGGCAGACAUGUUGAGGAACAUGUCCGCCUGGGUGCCCUCUUCAUCCGUGUAUGAUAGUGGAACGUUGUCGCCACUAUCAUCACCAGCGAUUAUCUGCUCCAUGAUAUACCUUGCGGUCUCAUCGUCUGCCAUUUCAACUAUUGCUGCAAACAUACAUGGAAUCAUACAUGACAGUCAUAGAAAUCGUCUUAAUACAAAUUUGUAUAUAAUCACAGUUCGGAAUCAUACAUGUAUAUAAUGAAAUCAUAAAAUAACAUGAAUCGUACAAAGUCCGGAAUCUUUAUACAAAUUUCUAUGAAUUUAUACAAAUUUCUAUGAAUUUAUACAAAUUUCUAUGAAUUUCUAUGAAUUUCUAUGAAUUUCUAUGAAUUUCUAUGAAUUUCUAUGAAUUUAUACAAAUUUCUACGAAUUUCUAUGAAUUUCUAUGAAUUUCUAUGAAUUUAUACAAAUUUCUACGAAUUUCUAUGAAUUUCUACAAAUUUCUACGAUUUUCUAUGAAUUUCUACAAAUUUCUACGAAUUCCUACGAAUUUUGACGAAUUUCUACGAAUUUUGACGAAUUUCUACGAAUUUCUACGACGGCGAUAAGGGCGGCGAAGGCGGGACGGCGGCGGUCAGGGCGGCGGAGGCGGGACGGCGGCGGUCAGGGCGGCGGAGGCGGUUCACCGGAACCACGGGCGGUGCCUAAGCUACUACGUUGUGAUGGGCGGCAGGACGGCGGCGAUCACGGCGGCUACUCGGCGGCGAUCACGACGGCUACAAGGCGACUGUCACGGUAGCUACUCGGCGGGACGGCGGCGAUCACGACGGCGGGACGGUAGUUAACAACCUAACUACAAAUCUAACUUAACAAACUAACUAGAAAUCUAAAAAUCUAACUUAACAAAAUUAGAAAUCUAAAAAUCUAACUUAACAAAAUUACAAUUCCAUCUAAAAAAACAAAAUUAAAAAUUAAAAGAAAACGGCCAGCUCUCCCGGCGCACCGGCCGGCGCGGCAGACCUCUCGCGCGCGGGGCGGCGGCCGGGGCGGCGGGACGGCGGCGGCCGGGGCGGCCUGACGGCGGCGGCUGGGGCGGCGACGAGGACGAAGACGACGACGGCGGGAUGACGGCGGCCGAGGCGAAGACGACGACGGCGGCCGGCGAGGGGCGACGAGGAUGGAGCUGGCGACGAGGGGCGAUGCAGCCGGCGAGGGAGGCGGACGGGCGGCGACGGGCGGAGAGGGAGGCGGACGGGCGGCGACGGGCGAGGGAGGCGGACGGGCGACGACGACGGCGCAAUGCGGGACUUCGACGGCGCAAUGGGGGACGACGACGGCGGCGGCCGGCGAGGGAGGCGGACGGGCGGCGACGGGCGGAGAGCGCGGGACUUGCGAAAAUUUCGCUAAGUGUGGAACUGGCGGGGGGUAGAAGGGAGUACAGUGCUUUUAACCCCCCCCCCCUUUUAUCCCGGUUCGUAAUGGCACCCGGGACAAAAAGGGCCUUUUGUCCCGGGUCCUGUCACCAACCGGGACAAAAGGCCCCCCCUUUUAUCCCGGUUGGUGACGGGACCCGGGAUAAAAGGGUGCGCUCCCAGCCCCACCUGGCGGGGGCACCCUUUUAUCUCGGGUCCCGUUACCAACCGGGACAAAAGGCCCCCCCUUUUAUCCCGGUUGGUAACGGGACCCGGGACAAAAGGGUGCCCCCGCCAGGUGGGGCUGGGAGCGCACCCUUUUAUCCCGGGUCCCGUCACCAACCGGGAUAAAAGGGGGGGGCCUUUUAUCCCUGUUGCAAAUGGCAACCGGGAUAAAAGGGUACGUUCGGGCGGGAGACGAAACGUACCCUUUUAUCCCGGUUGCCGUUUGCAACCAGGAUAAAAGGGGGGCCUUUUAUCCCGGUUGCUGUUAGCACCCGGGACAAAAGGUCCUUUUUCCUAUUUUUCUUCUCCCGCCUGUUUUUUGGAAAUGGAUUUUAUUUAACCUUUUCACUGCAUUCCAGGAUGAAAAACAAAACCUUCUCAGAUUUUGUACAUGCAAAAAUAUAUUUAAUUAACGAGUAAAUUGACAAUAAGUAUGAAGUAAUCAUUAUUUCUAUACCAACUCAUAUAGCCUGUAAAAUAUUUAUUUUACUGCAUUGCUGUGAUCAAUAAAUUAUUCAAUUAAAUUUUUUGAAUGCGCAGAAAAAUCCAUGUUAGUAUGUGGUUAACAAUGUUCAUGUAUAUCUAAAAAAUCUUCACCUAACAAAUUUAAUUACAAAUUUUAUCAAUUAAUACACAAAGGUCAUGCACAUUUAACGCAUUACAAUACAACGUUGUAAAAUUUCUUCUUCACGAAAGUUCCUUGAUCAUGAUCGCGGCGUAAGUACGGAGCCUCUUCUUUGGACAGCAGGAUGCUUGGAUCAACUUCAACGUCGAAUGGAGGCAUGCCAUCAAACUGAUCAUAAUCAUCUGAUUGGUCUGUUUUAUCCUCGACUCCCACGAUUUUUCUUUUACCUAGAAGAACUAUGUGGCACUUUGGCUCCCAUGUCUCUUCUGGAUUCCUCUUGGGUUUGCUGCACAUGUCCUUCACAUAGAACACCUGAUGCACAUCAUUGGCAAGUACGAAUGGGUCAUCACUGUAUCCAGUCUUGCUCAGAUCUACUAUUGUCAUUCCGUACUGAUCUUUGGUGACGGCAGUUAGCUUCACCCAAUUGCAAAGAAAUAGAGGGAUGUACAGCGGUCCGUAUUCGAGUUCCCAUAUCUCCUGUAUGAAACCAUAAUACGACUCCUUGCUAUUAUUUCUGUCCAUGGCAUCUAUGCGGACACCACUAUUCUGGUUCGUGCUUUUCUGGUCCUGGGCUCUCGUGUAAAAUGUGUAACCAUUUAUCUCAUAGCCUUGGAAUUUGACGAUUGUGGUAGCAGGUCCCCUGGCUAACCAAGCAAGCUGUGGGUGAAUCUCAGAGUUACCCAUAAGUUGUUGGCGCAACCAGGAGGGAAAAGUUUCCAUGUGAUGACGGGUAAGCCAAGCAUCGGAUUUGGUCGGGUUUUUGGAAGCUACCAUCUGCCUGUGCUGCUCGAUAUACGGAGACACAAAGGAUGACUGUUGUAGAACAGUGUAGUGUGCCUUGUCGAACAAAUUAGUAUCAUUGCUCAAACUUGAUUUCCUUCCAAGGGUGCCCAUUCCUCGGAGCCUCCCCUCGUGGCGUGAAGUUGGAACCCCAAUCGAGUCAAUUGAAUCAAUAAAAUCAACACAAAACUCGAUCACCUCCUCUGUUCCAUAUCCCCUGGCGAUGCUUCCUUCUGGACGAGCACGAUUACGAACAUAGUUUUUUAGGACUGCCAUGAACCUCUCGAAAGGCCACAUAUUGUGCAGGUAUACAGGUCCGAGAAUACCAAUCUCUUUUACUAGGUGAACCAGUAAGUGCGUCAUAUUAUUGAAGAAGGAUGGUGGAAAUAACAACUCAAAACUGACAAGACAUUGCACCACAUCGUUCUGUAGCUUUGAUAGCUUGGAUGGAUCGAUUGCCUUCUGCGAAAUCGCAUUGAGAAACGCGCAUAGCUUUACGAGCGGCAACCGGACAUUUUCGGGUAGAACACCCCUCAGUGCAACCGGAAGCAACUGGGUCAUCAACAUGUGGCAGUCAUGAGCCUUGAGAUUUGUAAACUUCUUUUGUUUCAUAUUUAUUAUUCCCUUUAUAUUCGAGGAGUACCCAGACGGGACCUUCAUACUAUUCAAGCAUUCAAACAUACUAUCCUUCUCCUCCUUGCUGAGAGUGUAACUGGCAGGACGUAAGUAGUGCUGUCCAUUAUCUCUCUUUUCCGGAUGUAGGUCAUCUCGUUGCCCCAUGGCUUUCAGGUCCUGUCUUGCUUCCAAUGUAUCUUUUGAGGUUCCAUAAACACCCAUGAAGCCUAGCACGUUCACGCAAAGAUUCUUCGUCAGGUGCAUCACGUCUAUUGCGUUGCGAACCUCUAGGAUUUCCCAAUAAGGUAGCUCCCAAAAUAUUGACUUUUUCUUCCACAUGGGUGCAUGUCCGUUAUCAUCGUUCGGAAUAGGUUGGCUACCAAGUCCCUUUCCAAAGACUACAUGUACAUCCUUCAUCAUCUCGAACACACGCUUUCCAUUACGGUGUGCAGGUUUUUUACGAUGGUCUGGCGUCCCUUUGAAAUGCAUCCCGCUCUUUCUCAGCUGGUGGUGAGCAGGGAGAAAUCGACGAUGACCCAUAUAGACGACCUUCUUACAGUGCUUCAAGUACAUGCUAUCUGUGUCAUCUAAACAGUGGGUGCAUGCCCGAUAUCCCUUAUUUGUCUAUCCUGAAAGGUUACUCAAUGCAGGCCAAUCGUUGAUGGUUACGAACAACAGUGCUCGUAGAUUAAAGAUCUCUUGUCUAUCCUCAUCCCACACACGUACACCUUCUUCCUUCCAGAGCUGUAAAAGGUCAUCAACCAACGGCCUUAGGUACACGUCAAUGUCGUUGCCGGGUUGUUUUAGGCCUUGGAUAAGCGCCGGCAUCAUAAUGAACUUCCGCUUCAUGCACAGCCAAGGAGGAAGGUUGAACAUACAAAGGGUCACAGGCCAAGUACUAUGACCACUACUCAACUCACCGAAUGGAUUGAAUCCAUCAGUGCUUAAACCAAACCUUAUGUUCCUUGCUUCACUUUCAAAGUCUGGGAAUGUUCUAUCAAUUGAUCUCCACUGUGCCCCAUCUGCGGGGUGUCUCAGCAUCUCAUCUUCCUUACGGUCUUCUUUGUGCCAUCGCAUCAACUUAGCAUUCGCCUUGUUCCUGAACAAGCGCUUCAAGCGUGGUAUUAUAGGGAAAUACCACAUCACCUUCACGGGAACUCUCUUCUUGGGAGACUGCCCCUCGACAUCACCAGGAUCAUCUCGCCUGAUCUUAUACCGCAGGGCUUCGCAGACGGGACAAGCAUCCAAUUCCUCGUAUUCAUCACCACGAUAGAGGAUACAGUCAUUAGGGCAUGCGUGUAUCUUCUGAACAUCCAAUCCGAGAGGGCAAAUAAUCUGUUUAGCUUCAUAUGUUGUGGACGGUAAUUCAUUAUUCUCGGGGAGAAUCUUCUUGACAAUUCUCAACAUCCCCUGAAAUGCCUUAUCGGACACACCAUUUUUUGCCUUCCAUUGCACAAAUUCUAGUGUCGUACCUAGUUUUUUAUGGCCCUGCUGGCAACCUGGGUACAACAAUUUUUGGUGAUCAUCUAUCAUGCGCUGCAACUUUGCUGCUUCCUUCUCAGUUUCGCAAUCUCUGUAUGCAUCUCGUAUCACCUGACCAAGGUCAUCAGUAGGGUCAUUUUCUGCAAACUCAUCUUCAUCAGCCUCGCCCAUUGUAGUACCUGCAAAAGCUUGGCCUGCAACCCAGUCCGGAAUGGUGUCAUCUUCCUCCUCCUCCUCGCCAUCUUCCAUUACAACCCCUAGUUCACCGUGCUUGGUCCAAACCAAAUAGUUAGGCAUGAAACCGUAUUUAAACAAGUGGCUGUGAAUAGUCCCCCAGGAAUUCUUUGAAUACUCCUUCCUGUUAUUGCAUUGGAAGCAUGGACAACAUACGAACCCAUUCUCUGGCUUGUUCGCUUUUGCCACUUCGAGAAAAUAAUGCAAGCCAUCAAUAAACACCUUGCUCCGCCUGUCUGCAUUAUACAUCCAAUGCCGGUCCAUCUGCAUCGUAUUACGCACGAAAAUGGAUUACACUUGACAAUGGAUUACGCGUGAAAAUCGAUUAAAGAUCCAAACAACAUGGUACAAUACAACAACAUGAAGAUCCAAAUACACAUAUUUAAAUUAAAGUCCCAAACACUGCAUAAGUUGUUCAACUUGAAGACCGUGAUCAUCUCGUGAGGAUGUCCUCAACUGGGCGGCACCGCACUUCGUCAUUAAAGAGGUUAGAUGCUACGGAAAAGGGGACACGGUCACAAUGUCCGUAUCCACUCUUUCUCGUAGAAUCGAACCUCCUUCUUGACAUACGUUGCUGCUCGGCGGAGAACAUCCUCGGCGAGAUGAACACGGUAUGCAAGUUCAACAAGUAGCAGAAGUCAUCUAUGUACAAAAAUUCUUUCCUUACCACUACAGAAGUUGUUGAACUUGAAGACCGUGUUCAUUUCGCGAGGAUGUCCUCAGCUAGGCGGCACCGCACUUCGUCAUGAAAGAGGUUAGAUGCUACGGAAAAGGGGACACGGUCACGAUGUCCGUAUCCACUCUUUCUCGUAGAAUCGAACCUCCUUCUUGACAUACGUUGCUGCUCGGCGGAGAACAUUCUCGCCGAAAUGAACACGGUAUGCAAGUUCAACAAGUAUAUGGAUUUAAAAAACCAUAUUGAAUUUGAUAAGAUAAACCGUCUAGACAAGGUAGCAUCAUUUUUAAACCACUGAAAUAAUGCAUACUAUAUAUGACACAUCAAUCUCCCUCACAUUCUAGCUCAAAAUACCUCUCCAUUUUUCUACUUCAUCAUCACAUUGUAGCAAAUAAUCUUUCCAUCUCCAAAGCAUAAAUCAAAGCAUAACACGAGGAUGAAGUAGCAAACCUUCGCAGCACUUGUUGGCUGAGUCAAAUUCCCACGAAAAUGAGGGAAAAAAGUUCGGGCAGCACCUCCCUUGCUUGGGCACCACCGGAGAGUAGGUGAAGCUCAGCUCUCUAUCAAUGUGCUGGACUGCUCGGGCUGGAGGAAGAAGAAAGUCUCUGUCUCGGGGUAUAGUGGGGGAUGAGUUUUAAUCCCGGUUAAAAACUCCAACCGAGACAAAAGGAAACACCUUUUGUCCCGGUUGGAAAGUUAGUCCCGGUUGGAGGAUCCAACCGGGAUAAAAGGGACACCCUUUUAUCCCGGUUGGAGGCACCAACCGGGACUAACCCUUUUAUCCCGGUUGGUGCCUCCAACCGGGAUAAAAGGGUGUCCCUUUUAUCCCGGUUGGAUCCUCCAACCGGGAUAAAAGGGUCCCGCCACCGACGGCCCCCGCUAGCCGUUGCAACCGGGACUAAAGGGGGGCCUUUAGUCCCGGUUGCAAUUACCAACCGGGACUAAUGCUCCCCUCCAAAUUCCCGCACCCCGGCGCACCCCCUUUUGUCCCGGGCCACUUUUAAACCGGGAUAAAAGGGGGUUGAUCGAAAGUCAGUUCUCUACUAGUGAUCGGUGACUCCGCUCGAGGAGAAUUGUUUAUAUCAAGCAUAGAAAUGACAACGUUGGAAGUGGAGGAUAUAUUUUGCUCUGUUGAUUUAAUUGCCGCGAGAGUGGCGGACAAGUUCUAAUGAUUGAAGAUCAGAAGCGUCUCGUGGAGAAUUUUUCAGAAGCUAUAUUUGGAAUUAUUAUAUUAUCUCAGGAGCAGAUUAAAUAUAACGCCACCACUGAAAGCCGAUGAGAUGUAUCUAUCGGCUACAUGCUAUUCAGAUGAAUUUGAUGACAGAUUAAUUACGGAGGAGACCGACCGAUACAACAUUAUGGUUUCUUACUGCUGAUCUGUUAUGAAAGAGGAUGUGAGAAGCUGAUAAUCAAGCAACAAUAAAAUGAUAUACACGCAGGGCAUUAAAUAUUGAGUUAAUGAUUGGGAGUACUACCAUUAUCUUAUGAAAAGUCCAUCGGCUAACCAAACAGCGUCAGCCGAUGGAAGCAAAUAGUGUCAGCCGAUAGAAUGAUGUUAUAUAAGUAUAUAUAUCGGCCUCCGAGCCAAUGGGAAGUAGGAACUAUCAGCCGAUGCACACAUCCAUGGACAUAGCCGAUAAGACAUUGUAUCGGCUGCUUGGCAAAUAAAAAUAGCAUCGGCUGACCGCUUGUUAAAAUAUUAUCGGCCGAUUGCUUGGCAAAAUAGUAUUGGCUGACUGCUUGGCAAAUAAAAAAAUAAUAGGUUGACCAAAAAAGGAUAGCAUUGCCUGAUUGCUUGGCAAAUAAAAAAAAUUACGUCGGCUGAUUGGUUCCAGCAAAAUAGUAUCGGCUGCUUGUUGAUCAGAAAAAGCCGAUACUGUUACAGCUCCCGCAACUGUGCUUUGCUGUCAUCGGCUGGGUUGUUCGUGCUCCAUCUGCAAAUAUUUGUCCCGGCUAGAAAGUAUCGUACGUGCAUUGGGAUUCGGCAGUACAAAUCACGUACACGCGUAUGGUCUGCUCAGAAGCUGUCUGUUCGACGAAGUUCCAGGCCAAUGGUGGAGACUUGAUGACCAUGGUGACCUGCAUUAAUCAACAUGAAGUAUGUAUCGGCUGUUCGGUGAUUGGUAGCAAAUCAGCUUUCUCAUAGCCGGUGACAUAUGGGGCAAGAAAUAUCAGGCUUAAAAAAGGACAGUACGAUCAAUGUCGAAAGUUGUAGCCGACGGUUCUAUUAUUGUGCAGUCGAUGGAACAUAGAAGAUGCAUCUGAAUGAGCAAAAGGAAGGGAGCCGAUAGAAGGGAAUUUAAGUUGCAUGAGAUCCAAUUAAAUUAAGAUGACGAGAGGUGUUGACAUCGAAUCAUCGGACUUCUACGAAGUCUUCAUACUCCGAAACUAGGGAGUCUGUGUUAACACCAAAAUUUAGAAAUAUGCUGAUGCAAAAAAAUAAUGAAAUCUCCUAAAUAAGGCUCAAGAAAGAAAAAGCAAGAAAAGAAAAUCAAUCGCACGCGGCAAGAAUUGAAUAAAAUAUUCUAGAGGUAGAGUUGGUUAGGAUAAGCUUAAUUAGGGAUAGAGUUGGAUUAGUUAGAGAUAGUAUUUUGAUUAGAAAAGAUUGUGUACAUGACUUGUACGUGGUGCGUCAGAGGCCAUCCGCCCUAUAAAUAUAAGGGGUCGUGGCCAUUGUAAUUAUCAUCACACGAUCAAUAUACAACAUAUUUAUCUUUUACCUUUUCGGCUUCACGCCAUUGUAUUAGGAGUAGGAGUAAUGUAGCUUCCUGACGAGUUCCUUCUAGCAAGCUGUGCUGCAUUGACCUUGAUCUCUGGCGAGCUGCAAAGUUCCGUCACCAGGUGUUCUAGGCUUUAACCACCGGGCGCAUCGCUUGUGGUUUCGUCUAGUUUCAUCUACAAGGUAUCGAAUAUCAUGGAUCUUUAACUUACGCAUCGCUUCUGUCUUGAUCUACGGUAUUCACCAGUUAUCCUGCCUUGGUUAAGUCUGCAUCGGCUGAUAUUUAUCUGUUCUAUCAUCUUGCCGUUCAGUUUGCUUUAAUUAGCUUUAGAUCGGUUCAUUAUAGAUGAUAGAUCGCUUAAUAGCCUGUUGCAUCUUAAUCUUGGUUACCCCUUCAAGUGCUGUUGGGAUUAAGUUUCGUUAUGAUUGGAUUCAUCGGCUGGUGGGGUUGGUGGGGUUCAGAUUAACAUCGUGCUAAAUAUUUCUAGACUGCAACUACUGGACGCAUCGCUGUGGUUUCAUCUAGAGAUAUUGGUAGAGAGUUUAGUUUAGAUCUCAUCGGUUCGUGGCUCUAGCUAUGGUGGAGCGGCAGCUGAAUAGCAUCCUGUUUUCUAUCGGUCGCCUGGCCGAUAGUUAUUGCAAAAUAUAUUAAAUCGCCUGGAUGGCCGAUGGAUCACUCACGCUCGUCAAGGAUCAUAUCGGCCUGAUCGGCCAGUUGCCUCGGACUUCAAAGGAUUAUUUUCACCUUGUCAGUUGAAUGGUCAAACUGGCUGGCACGCCCGCGCACACCAUGCGCGCCGAUUUGGAUUUUGCACUGGAGUUAAGUAGAUCUUCCAGGUCCUCAUGUGGUGACGAAGGAUCCACCACCAUCAGGAUUUUGCGUCAACACAUUUUGGCACGCCCAGUGGGACACGGUUAUAAGGUUCAUAUUUUUAUUCAUAUAAAAAAGCAUCUUCGGCAUCAUCGGCCAAAUGAGUGUUCAUCGGCUUGUUAGAAUUAAUUCAAUAUAAUAUUUCAGCAAAAGCAGCCGAUGUAGCGAUUGGAGAUAAGGCCAAGUCAAGUCUGCGUGUAUACGCAUGUUCCGGUGGGAUCAUCUUCAUAAAUGCCAAUGACGAUUAGAGAUGAAGCUUCCUGCAAAAUGAUUGGCUACUCUAUCCGGGAAGAAUUGCUUUUUUAUGAGGCAUAUAUAGAGACCCAUGUUGCAAUUAGGGGGCGUAUUCGUGCAUUGGCUGAAAUAAAAAAAUGCAUCGGCAUAUUGAAAAUUGCAUCGGCCGAUUGACAGUCGUAUCAGCUGAUUGGAAAAAUAAAAAGGGAUCAGGGAUCCGCCGAUUGAAAAUUGCAUCAGCUGAUGGAAAAUGAGAGCAACAGUUACAAUAUUUUUUUUAAAAGAAAGCAAGUAUCGGCAAGCAGUAGCCGAUGGAUUUGUAUUUCAGCCAAUGGGGUUUUUGUUUCAGCUGAUAGUACUACUGGCUGAUGGCAAGUCCAAUGGAGUUAAAAUUGCAUUGACUGAUUGAAAUAAAAAUUAAGUAUCGGCUAAUUUAUGGCCAAGUAGCAUCUGCUGAUUUGUUGCAAAGUAGUUUCGGCUGAUUUAUGGCAAAAUAGAAUCGGCCGAUUUAUGGCAAAGAAGCCAAUAGACAAAAGCAUCGGCUGGUAGAGAAGCCGAUUGAGCAAGCAUCUGUUGAUGAGCUAUGUAUGGGAAAAAGUAUUGGCUGCUUAAACAAUUGACAAAAGCCAAUUGGUCAGACUGAGAAGCCAACUGGGAAAGCAUCGAUCGAUGGAUUGCGUAUGGGAGAGAGUAUCGGUUGAAGUCUUUAGUAUUGACUGCUAGAUAUUUGAGCAAGCGUCGGCCGAUUGACUGCUUGGUAAAAAAAACAUCGGGCUGAUUGCUUGGUUAAUAAAAAAAUUGCAUCGUUCAAGCAAAGAUUGCAUGGGCUGAUUGGUUCAAGCAGAAUAGUAUCGGUUGCUUAUAGAAUAUAUCGGAUAUUAAUUUCGAAGCAUGAAAAUAUUCAUACUCCGAAACUGGGGGGCCUGUGUUGACAACAAAAGCUUGCUGGUUACUGCAUCAAGUUUUGGUGUCAACAUACUUGAUCUUUUGUUUCCAUUGCCAGCGGAUUCAUCGGCUCAGAGUGGGAUCAAGACAUCAAGCUGAUGGAGUUCUUUAUAUUUCAAGAGGAGUCAUGGAGUUCUUUAUAUUUCAAGAGUAGUCGAUGGUGCUUUGAAUAUUGCAACCAGACGUCAUUGGCUCUAAAGAUACCGAAUCAUCGGACUUCUAUGAUCAGUUUCGGAACAUGAAGCCUUCAUACUACGAAACUGGGGGCCUGUGUUGACACCGAAUCAUCGGACUUCUAUAAUUAGUUUUGGAACAUGAAGCCUUCAUACUUCGAAACUGGGGGGCCUAUGUUAACACCAAAAUUUAGAAAUGUGCUCUGAAAGGAAGGUAUCGGCCGAUGAUGCAAAAAAAUAAUGAAAUCUCCUAAAUAAGGCUGAAGAAAGAAAAGCAAGAAAAGGAAAUCAACGCACACGGCAAGAAUUGAAUAAAAUAUUCUGGAGAUAGAGUUGGUUAGGAUAAGCUUGAUUAGAGAUAGAGUUGGAUUAUUUAGAGAUAGUAUUUUGAUUAGAAAAAAUUGUGUACAUGACUUGCCUUGUACGUGGUGCGUCAGAGGCCAUCCGCCCUAUAAAUAUAAGGGGUCGUGGCCAUUGUAAUUAUCAUCACACGAUCAAUAUACAACAUAUUUAUCUUUUACCUUUUCGGCUUCACGCCAUUGCAUUAGGAGUAGGAGUAAUGUAGCUUCUCGACGAGUUCCUUCUAGCAAGCUGGGCUGCAUCGACUUCGAUCUUCGGUGAGCUGCAAGUUCCGUCACCAGGUGUUCUAGGCUUUAACCACUGGGCGCAUCGCUGUGGUUUCGUCUAGUUUCUUCUACCAGUUACCGAGUAUCUUGGAUCUUUGACUUAUGGCACAUCGCUUCUGUCUCGAUCUACGGUAUUCACCAGUUAUCCCGCCUUGAUUAAGCUUGCAUCGGCUGAUAUGUAUCUGUUCUUUCAUCUUGCCGUUCAAUUUGCUUUAGUUAGCUUUAGAUCGGUUCAUCAUAGACAAUAGAUCAUUUAAUAGCAUGUUGCAUCUUGAUCUUAGCUAUCCUUCGAGUGUUGUUGGGAGUAAGUUCCGUUGUGAUUGGAUCCAUCAGCUAGCAGGGUUUAGAUUAACAUCCUGCUAAAUAUUUCUAGACUGCAACUACCGGGCACAUUGUUGUGGUUUCACCUAGAGAUAUUGGUGGUGACGUUAGUUUAGAUCUCAUCGGCUUGUGGCUCUAGCUAUGGCGGGGCAACAACUCAACAACAUCCUGUUUUCAAUCGACCGUCUAACUGAUAGCUAUUGUAAAUUAUAUUAAAUCGGCUGGAUGACGAUGAAUCACUCACAUUCAUCAAGGUACUGGAAUCGGCUUCACAGCCGAUAUAUUUGUCAUGAUUUAUUUUGUUGCACCAUUAUCGCUACUGUGCUAGGAUUAUAUCGGCCUAAUCGGCCAGUUUCCUCGGACUUCACAACGACUAUCAUCUCCUUGUCAGUUGAAUGGUCAAACUGACUGGCAUGCCCGCGCACACCACACGUGCCGAUUUGGAUUCUGCACUGGAAUUAAGCAGAUCUCCCAGGUUCUCAUGUGCUGAUGCAGGGUCCACCACCGCCAGGAUUUUGUGUCAACACCUUGUAAUCUUCCUUUGAUUUCCUCAAUGAUUCGAAGACAAUAACCUUGCUUGUAUAAAUGAUAAUUAUAAGGAGAACCUAGUGGAAACUGUGUAUUCAUAUUAGAACUACCUAUGGUUAAUUAGGUUAGGAAAGGAAAUCGAAAAUAGACCGUACCCACACUUACUUAAAGUUGUUGGGCAGUAGUAUGUAAUGCUUGUAAUUCUGUUACUCCAAGAAUUUGUAUAUGUGGUCCAAUGUAGACUUUGGUUGAUCCCAUAUCUGUUGUUGGUUAAAUAAGUGUUUCUGGCCAUUUCUAGCCGUUAGAACCGGAACUAAAGGGGGCUCUUUAGUACGGGUUGAUAUUACUAACCGGGACUGAAGAGCCCCCAUUACAGUUGGUUUUUGGACGCGGAACUAACAACUCCUUUAGUCCCGAGUCCAAAAACGACUGAGAUAGAAGAUCCUUUCUCUACCGUGAAUAUUGCCAGAAAGAAUUGAAAGAGACCGCUUGCUAAAAAUAUGUCAUAGAUGUAGACCAAGCUACCAAGGAGGUAGACCAAACAUGAUACACACCAUGCGUACCUUGCUGUGCAGACUAUGCAUAGACAAGACACCCGACCACAUGUUGGCCUCGGUCACAUCAAAAGAAUCAUGUAGGCCACCAAUAAACUACUUGAAGCGUCAUUCCGUAUCGUAUAUGCAUUGCCGGUUCAUCUGCAUUACAUUACAUAAAGUAGUAUUAACUAUUUGAAUAAAAUGAACCAAUUUAAAAGUAAUGUGUUGUACUCUACUAUAGAAAGCCCUAUCACUGUCGGAUCCAGAAACAUCAUUGUUGAUGGUCGUUAAGUACCAAGACGGUCAAUAUUCUCAAGAAUAAUGGAGAAUUGGCAUUUCUUACACACAUAUUUGGUUUUGAACAAUGUAGUCCCACAUGUCCUUGGAGAUUAUUUGGGUGUGGGUGAAAUAAUACAAAAAGAAGGAGAAAACACACUCCCAUGGUGAAGAAACAAAACUCCGACCAAUGAGAGAUAGCCACAGGGGCAGCACACGGAUCCAUGGGCCCACAAACCGCAUCAAACUGUCUUACCAAGGCGGGUAGCACCCACAACCAUGAUUAGGACCCACCUGGAUGUCUACCAAGAAGAAGGUUGUGAGUGGGGCCAGGAGGGGUUCGGCUGAAUCAUCUCUAGCUCCCCUCAUCCCCAGCUGGUGCAUGGCGGUGGUUAAUGGUGUCCCUACAUCGGUUAGAGGAGAUUCCCCCAAAUAUUCCUCCUGUAAACCACCUGUAUGGACCUAUACAUAGAGGGGUGUGCUCUCCAAUCCAACACACACCACAAGUUUAAUCACUCUCUCCCUCUUUAAUUUCCAUGUUUAUGGAGUUAGCCUAGAGUAGCUCUGCUCAAGGUUCCAAGUCCACUUGGAGUUAAGCAUAUGUCUCUUGUAUCGUUAUUUCCCAGAUUGACUUUAUGCUUAGUUCUUAUAUGCAUGAGUUAGUCUAAUAGCCUUGCUCUAUUGAUAUGCUCGGCUUAUAUGCUCGUAUGCUAGUCAUAUACCCUUGCUGCCGUAGUAUAGGCUUAUAUGCUCUCAUGUGUGCCUUUAGACCUUGCUACAAUAUAUACUUGUUGUGUAUACAUACCAUGUAUAGGCUAGUCGAUCUAUACCAUGGCAUUGGUUCAAUAGCCAUGUUUUUGGUGGCUCCAACCCUAGUCAGAAUAGCUCGGGACAGCUAGAGUGUUGUUAAAAAUGCAAGAGUGAUGGUUGGGUUGUUUAGCAUCGUUGGAUAUGGGUUUUCCCCACGGGUUUCUAAGAGUAGGCGGCAGCUAGUGACAGCCCUGUCCGUCCUUCGUAAUCCCCCCACAUUCAAGUACGCCAUAGAAGUUCAUAAAUUAGCAGUAACUACACCGGCAGACCGGUAGGGUAUUGUCUCCCUAUAGUACCUUGGUGCAUAGAACUAGGUCAUAUACACUGUGUGUCUAUGUUUACGCUGAUAUGAUCUGUGCAGUAUAUAGCAUGUAUAUAUGAACCUAGAGCUAACUCCUAGUCCAUUCUCCGUAGCUUAGUUAUCUUGAGAUGAUUCUUCUGUGUGUGUAACACUACCCAUCUUAUCAUUAUCCUUAAUCCUGUCUUGUGUAAUAUAUCUACUCAUCCUAUGAUAUACUCAUAUGCAUAGUAAACUAUUUUGACCUACCCGCCUUCCUUUGGGAAAUACGAUACCCUGGAAUAAUCCUAGGUGAAAUGCUACAACGGUAUAUCCAUGUGCUUACGGAAUUAUUCCUGACCAUUAAAUAUACCAACAAUCAUCACUAUCUAUUUUGGGCAUCGUUAGUGAAGGGUCGGCAGUGAUGGGCAUCCCCUUCACCAAUGGAGCUGGAACUGGCGGUGAUGGCCAUUAAAAAAAAUGGGACCCCACCCAGCGUACCCCGCAACCCGGCCGGCUGCGCCUCCCAUCAUCCCCGCCGGUCGCCCUUCCUCUUUGCCGGCCGAGCAUGGUUCCGGCCCUCGUCCCUACCGCCUCGCCUCCAUCGCGACCCCCUGCCGAUGCCCUCAUGCCUGGCCCCCCUCGUCUGGCCGGCCACCCUCCCGAUGCAUCCACCGGGGCCCUCGCACCACCAACCACCCUAGCCUAGAGAGAGAGAGGAGGAGGGAGGUGAGGCCACGCACCUCGUCCUACAACGCCGCUGUUGCUCCUCGGCCCACCGCGCCUCACCCCACACCACAGCCGCACCUCGCCAUCUUACCGGCCGCGACGCCCCAUCUCACCGGCCACCGUUCCUCACCCCCACAUCGGUCAUCGCUGCUCCUUGCCCUACUGCUGCUCUUUGCAGCCGCGAAUGAGGGGCGAGUGGAGGGGGAGGGGCGGGGCAGGAGGAGGGCAAGAUCCGGGAGGAAGGGAGAGAUUUUGGGAGGUGGAGAUGGAAGGAUAUGGCGGAAGGUAGAGAUCUAGAGGGAGAGAGCGGGGGGGAGAGGGGGGCAUGUGGGGAGAGAGCGCAUGUGGGGUGGGGCCGGGCUGGUGGGAUGGAAGGUAGAGGGGCCGGAGGGCGCAGUGCAUUCAACUGGAUUAAGUAAAUAUUUCGGAUUCGAGACCCCAGCUUUAUUAUCACCGCUGGUCCGUAGUACCAUUCGGUGCCGGCUCAUAAUUUAAUUUGAACCGGUGGUGAUGUUUUAUUAUCACUGCUGGUUUCAAUUUUCACCAUCGGAUCAUAUAAAAAUCCGGCGGUUAAAAAUCCGCUGGUUUCGAUGAAAACCGACAGUGAUAGGACGACUGUGAUAGUCUCUUCUCUAGUAGUAGUAUAUUAGUACCGGCUGCCGGAUGGUGUUGCCGACGAGUACUUCUCCAGGGGCGAUUCAGUACUGAUGUUAGCAAAGCUUGUUCUCUAUGAAUUUGGGGAUGGAAAGCUAGUUCUCUAGUUGUGAUUUGUUACAUAUAUCUCUAUGAUAGUCUAGAAAUUGCAUGUCCUUCGUUGACAUAGUUGAAGCUGCUUCAAGAAUUUACUUCGUGCAGUCGUGCAGCAUAUUGGAUUAUCACCUAGACAGGAUACAUAGGUGAAGCAUUGCAUGUGAUUGUGGCUGAUAAUUAUGCAGGACGCUGUUGCAAUCAACCAUCAAGAAGACUGGAGCGAUGGGGUUGCCUCAUCAACAAUUUUUAUAUAUGGCUGCAGUAUUAUUAAGCCCACGUCAAUAAUUUUUUCUCCGCAGCAUAUAUAUGGUUACUCAGUUCGCUGGAGUAUCGCUGUGGAAAAACAUACGUACUGCGCCUCGGAACUAACUGGCAUUCAGGCCAUCAACGACCAGAUAUUUGGGACAACCAACAAAUAGUAGGUGGUUCCUAAGUUGUAGUCGUAUGUACUAAUGCGCCUCGAUGGGGUUUUCUUCAGAUAUUUUAUUGCCGUUCAAUGAACAAGCAGAUACAUAACCUGUGCAGAAAAUUCCAUCUCCACGCAUGCCACUGCACCAACAAGAUCCUCAGUCGACGAUGAUGGCUCAGCCUGUUCCUUCUGCCACCAAAUCCUCAAUCUUCCCUCCAGCAACGGAGAAUGCACCUUUAGUACCUUCAGUAUCAGAUGUUGCAAUCGGUACCGUGAAACCGAGACUAAAAUCCUUACUUUGCAGGGGGCAAAACAAUCUUGCAAAUAUAUAUUUUGAAUUCCAACAAAAUUUAAGAAAUGUUAAAGAUGACUAGCUGAGAGUCAACAGACAAGAUAUGAUAUUAGGAAUGUGGGAGGAUGAAUGCAUUUGUACAGGGGUCAUACUAUUUCCAGACUCUUCUAUAUUUCCAUAUGACUACCUACUUCAAUGUCACGCGAGCCAUUCAAAAAGAUACAUGGUACACUUGUAUGUCUAAUCCAUUAUUGAUUAUUUCCUCUUGUCAUCUCUUACAAGUAUUUCUCCAUACUAUAGAAACGUGCAACACAUUUUUAGGAUAUGGACACGCAUGAUUAAUAUGCUUGGACUAGUAUACAGGUCAUCUUUGGAUGAGUACAUAUGAAUGCCAGGGAGGGACUGAUGGAUAUAAGGAAAAGGGACCAUGCAUAAAUAAUGACAUAUGUAACAUGGCAAUCUUCAUUGCCAUGCAACUCCUAUCAACAAUCAUGGAAUACAUACUACUGCUCCAGAAGGGUGGUGUGCAAAUUUAUUUUACCUCGCGGUGAAAAUCUCCAGAGCAGGCCUGAAGUUAAAAUAAGAGGCAGUCACUAUCGAUCAUGACAGUCUCGAAACUGUACAGCACUAUGCUAGUCCUAGUCCUCAUGUCGUUCGUGCUGUCGUGUAGCAUGAUGGAUUAUUAACUGGGCAGGACACGGAGAUGGCUAGCGAUGACAGAGGAUGACGUACAUGAUAUUCACCUCUGAAAUGAAGCGUAGGCUAAUGAAGCACAAUUGCAUGUGAGUGUGGCAGAUAUUUAUACAGGACAGUGAUUGCAAUAAUCGACCAUCGAGAUCGAAGACAGGGGCGAUGGGGUUGCCUCAUCAAUAAUUCGCGCAACCAGACAAGCUGCAGACUCAAUAUGGUACGAAGCUAUUUGGUCAGCCCACAUGCUCUGAUAUAACAUUGGCAUCUGCUGAUCUACAGUAUAUAUGACCAGAAAUAUUGUGCCACCUCAAUAAUUUUCCGAAGUAUCGUUGGGGAAGCACCUACAUACUAUGCCUCGGAACUAACUGACAUGUUGGCCUAGGCGGUCCAGGCCGAUUGGACAGGCUCUUCCUUAUGGCUCCUCACGUCCCCUUCGUUUCCGAGUAAUCUCAGGUGUUCUGAAGUUUUCUUUUCACUUGCAUGUGGACCUUAUAUAUCAAUAGCUUCGGGAUAAGAAUGCCUCUUGAUAACCUUCCAAAUCGUCGCUUGAUUCACUUUGAUUCCAAAAUCAUCUUGCCAUAUCUUUUGAGACUUAGGCCCUAAGGCAUCAUGGAGGAUUGCUCGCCAAGAAUGAGCACCAUUGGGCUCCUGAGGACCCUAGGCCGAUCAGCCUGGGCUCUAUAGGUUGAUUGGCCCAGGCCCUCUCUGGGCCCAUUGGCCUUCAUCUUUCUCUGAGUCGACGCUUAUUGAGGGCUUUGUCCAAUUAUAGUCCAUUAUAGUCUAAUUUCCAAAAAAAUAGAAUAUCCUCCAAAAUACAAUACAUUUGUGAAAACAGCCCAAUUAUUAGGUAUGAUCAAUAGUCUAGGUAUUAAAUUAAUGUUAUUAUUUAAGAUAAAUAGGGAUAAAGGGUGUCAUUAAUAACGAGCACCAACCAGCGUACCAGCUGUUAACACUAACCGAUGCUAAUAUGUACCCUUUAGUACCGGCUAUUUCACCCGGUACUAAACGAGACAAGAGCACCCUAACAGAGGUUAAUACCAUCCAUUUCAUGAGUAAAAUACUAUGAUUCAAAAAUAAUUCAAAUCCCUUAAGACAAUACCUAUCAAAUGAGUAGAUUGUAAAUAGAGUAAAACAAUGUCCUAAUGAAACGGAACACUUCUGGUUCGUGUAGAGCACAAUAUAGAAAACAGUAGGGUAGCUGUACGAUUGACACGUGGUCCAUUAAUUAUUGAGCCAUCACUAUGGACAUGUCUUCAUGAGUAGUGUACUAGUCAUGACACAUGGUAUGUAGUAGGUGGAGGUAUUGAGUUAGCCAUGCCAUGAGCACUUAGUUACAACAAACACUUUGCCAUUAUCGAGCAUCCCAAAUCACUACAAAAUCCAUAGUUUACCAUAUACUACAAAAUCUGAGUUAAAAUAAGAGCAUACACGGAAGAGUCCGAAUGCACCGGUUUAGGACCAGGCACAUUGAAUUACUAGAAAAAGUUAUCGGACAAGGUUUUGGGUAACCGCAUGAAAAAUGUUGGAUUUUACUGAACACUUAGUUACAAUUACCAUGCCGUGAGCACUUAGUCACCACAAACAUUUAACCACUUUAGAUCAUCCUGAAUCCCUAUAAAUUCUGUACCUUACACCGUACCAUGAAAACGACAAGAACAGAGACAGAUGCAGUGAAAAUCUCCAGAGCAGGCCUGAAAUUAAAAUAAGAGGAGGCAGUCUCUAUCGAUCAGGACACGGAGAUUGCUAGCCAUGACAGAGGAAGACAUGAUAUGAUAUUCACCUCUGAAAUGCAGCGUAGACUAAUGAAGCACAAUUGCAUGUGAGUGUGGCAGAUAAUGGACCAUCGAGACCAUCGAAUGGUAUGAAGCAUGAUUAUCACCUAGACAUGAUAUCCUAGACAGGACGGUGAAUUGUAAAAAGAGUAAUCUUGAUCAAAGAAUGUCCUAAUGAAACGGAACAUUUUUGGUACGUGUAGAGCACAAUAUAGAAAACAGUAGAGUAGUUGUACGAUUGAAACUGCAUCCAUCCACGUGGUCCAUGAAUUGUUGAGCCAACACUGUGGACAUGUCUUCAUGAACACCAUCUAGUGAGGACAGGAUGCAGAAAAAUAUAAAAACAUGUCAUAGGGAGGCAGACCAAUCUUGCAAGGAGGUAAACGAAACGUGAUACACGAUCUGCCUACCUUGUCGUGGAUACCCCAAGAGAAGAUGUCAUAGAGGUGCAGACCAAGCUAGCAAGGAGGUAGAUGAAACGUGAUACACGGCCUGCCUACCUUGCCGUGGAUAUUAGCCCUGAUAUCAUUCUAUUGUUCAAGGAAUAACACUCAAUGCUGCUGCUGCUGCUGACCUGGCUCCAUAAAGUUGUAUUCCUCUAGCCGCUUGCACUAACUUUAUCUGAAGUAUUAUUCUCUCUGCCCUGAUAUCUGAAGUAUUAUUCUCUCUGCUGACUUUGCUGAAGAACCUACAUAAUAUGUCUUGGAACUAACUGACAUUGAUUCACAGACAAACUCUACAAGGUGCUGUUGUUGCCAUAUUUUAGAGCAUCCCAAAGGACUAUAAAUAAUAUAGUUUACCAUAUACCGUAUACCAUUAUAUGUUAGCUAAAAUAAGAGCAUAACAUGUCGCAGGAGUCCAAAAGCACCGGUUGAGGACCAGGUACAUUGAAUUACUAGAAAAAGACAGGGGGCAAUGUUUAGGUAGCCACAUGAAAAACAUUUGAAUUUACUGUUCCAUGAACACUUAGUUACCAUGCCGGGAGCACCUAGUUAACACUAAAAUUUAGCCACUUUAGAUCAUCCCGAAACACCCUCAAUAGCGACAAAUUUUGAUUUAAAUGCCGUCACCAAUGAUCCUCAAUAGCGACGUGUUUAGGUUUAAAUCCCGUCACUAAUAACCCUUGGUAGUGACGUGUUUUGGUUUAAAUCUCAUCCCACUGAUCCUCAAUAGUGACGUGUUUUUAGCAACACACGCUAUGAAUGACUUGUCAUUGGUGACAUGUUAAAUGCGUUAUCUCAAUGGCAAAUCAUUGGUGACGUGUUUUAAAAAAACAUGUCACUGUGAGAGUUAUUGGUGAAGGGUAAUUAAAAUGCAUCACUAAUUUUGUAGCAUUAGUUAUGAUAUAAUUUAGUAACGCAAAAAUCUACCAUCAGUAAUGAGGUUUAGAGCCGUCGCUAAUGUGGGUUUCUUACGAGUGAUGCAAGCUCUACAAGGUGCUGUUGUUGCCAUUUUAAAGCAUCCCAAGUGACUACAAGUUAAUAGCAUAGUUUACCAUAUACCAUAAAAAUAUUAGUUACAAUAAGCACAUCCGCAUGUGGAAGAGUCCGAAUGCACCAGUUGAGGACUAAACACAUUGAAUUACUAGAACCAAAUGUAAGACAAAGAAAGGGGUCAAGGUUUGGGUAACCGCAUUAAAAACAUUGGAUUUUACUGUACCAUGAACACUUAGUUACCAUUACCAUACCUUGAGCAUCUAGUUACCACAAACAAUAAUUUAGCCACUUUAGAGGUUCCAGAAUCACUAUAAAUAAUAUACCAACACCGUACCAUGAAAACAUCAAGAAGAGAGACGGGUACAUGGACCACCAUCAAGUGAGUAGUGACAGCACGCACAAGAAUACCCGGAACCUGUUAGCUUGUCUGUAGUGAUCUGUUUUCUUCCCCAUAAAAUCCAUGAGUAUUGCCACAAAUAAUGAAAGAGGCUGACCAAGCUAACAAGGAGGUAGAGAAAACGUGAUACACGUAGGUUUCAUUCAAGACAUCCAUGUAAGAUUCAUUCAAAACAUUCAUGGAAAUUUCUUGUAAGUUUUCAUGUAAAUUUCAUUCAAGACAUUUGUUAGAGGUGUUGUAUAUAUAUACCUUAACGUACAUAUAUCUAUGAUUUCAUGGUUGUUAGUGAUGGCAGAUGAGGAGCAUGCAAGGUAUUUAAUGGAGCAGAUUAUUGCUAGUGGUAGUGGCUCCAACCUGCCCGUAACGUACACCAACGAAGAGAGCAGCCAGGCGGACAUGUUCCUCAACAUAUCCGGUGAUGGCAAUGAAGAGCCCGAGCAAAACCUUGCCGUGACGGAAGGUUCCAGUGAGGUAUAUAUCAUUUCCAUUGUUUUACCCCAUCUAUAAUUUCAUAUUCAUUAUUACUAUGUACUAAUUAAUGGAUCUUGAACCAUUAGCCCUCUAGAUCAACGAACCGAAAUAAGCCCCGAGGUCUUACAAAGAUAAUGCAGGGAAGGCAUCACAUCACGGAAGUCACAGAAGAGGGCACAUCAGUUGCUCCCGAACAUGUGGCAAGAAAGUACGUGAGUCAAACCGGGCAAUGUGCCCAUCAGCAUUAGGGAAUGAAAGGGCAAUAGAAAUGAUCUAUACACGCCCCCGGAUACACAAAAGGAUAUGCUGUGGGCAAAUAUCAAGAAACACUUCACAUUUCCCAAAGGAUAUGUUGAAAAAGAUGUGAAAGCGUGGAUGCUGAAGAAGAUGGUCACCGAAUUCCAGACAUUCAAGAAGAUGUUGGAUGUCAACUUCAUCAAGAAGGGUCGAACUCCGGGUUUCGAUGAGUGGCCAAAGUUAAGGGACCACUGGGAGUCAUUUGUCAAAUACAAGACGAGUGAAGGUGGUGCGAGUAAGGUUCGCAUCAAUGUUGCCAAUGCUAGCAAGGAGUACCAUCAUCAUCUAGGGCGACGUGGUUACAGCACUGCAAUUCCCAGAUGGCGCAAGAUGGAACAAGACCUGAUCGAUCGGGGUAUCGUACCAGCAACUCCUGACUGGCCUGAUCGAUUGAAAAAUUGGUAUUAUGCUCAUGAAGGCAAUCUGAGCCAACAGGAUGCGACAUUGGUCUUCAAUAAAACAAUACGUCAGAAGGCCGGAAGGCUUAUUAGGAACAUUGAAAAUGCUAAAUCUGGGAGGUUCAAGGUGGAUAGAGAGAAUGAUGAGCUCACAUUGGCCCUUGGGACUAUCAUCUCUAGCAUUUCCAGCUCCAGGACUGUCGUCACCACCGGGACCGUCGCUUCUUGCUCGAUCACAGUCUCCAUCUCCAGCACAUCCUGGUGGUGCGAACGAUGACGACAACAACACCCCUCCCUGCCCACCAUCGCCGGGACUAAGACCCGCAUCGAGUAAGGAACCUGCAGCACCACUGAAGAAGUCGCGACCACCGCCUUCCAAGCCAAGUCAGCAAAAGAAGAAAGCAGAGAAGCCUAAGCCCACUGAGAAGCCAACAACCGAUAUGACCGAUGCGGAAAGAUGGAAGGCACUCAAAGAAGAAUGCAGGGAGUGGUUCUGUAAAAAGAACCAAAGAAAGAAAAGGAAAGCAGAUGGAGCCACCGCCAGUAGAUCCAAGAAAAUUAUAAUUUUUUAUUAAGAUGUCAAAAGGAGCCAAGAAGAUGAUUCCACAACUAUCAAACUACGACCGGGCGUUAGUCAAGGCUGAUGAGAGUUAAAAAAGGAAAGGAAAGUCAUCUUCAAGUGGUACUGUCCCCCACCUCGAGGAUCUACCAGAAAAAGACGCUAAAAAGAUAGUAGCAAUGCUCUUGGAUCAACAAACACAUAUAUCAUGAGAUUCAUGCAAGAAACAGGUAUGUGCCUUGCUGAAUGUCUAGGGCAAGUUGAUAUGCUAGCUCUAGAGCCAUUUGUACCGAAAUGGACCUUUGAGCUAGGCAAGCCUCUAGUAAGGCCUGAGCUGGUACAGAAGCUAUCCACAUAGCUAUAUGAAUACCAUGAAUGGUACAUGAAGCAGUCUGCCAAUGAGAGGAAAAUGUUCGGUCUCAGGGAAAAACUGAUAUUUUUUUUCGGCGAAGGCGAGAAAGUCUUGUGAUGGAAUUCAAGGAUAUAUAUGAAGUGUACCAUCAGGAUGCCCUUGAUGUCUCUCUCAUCAGCGCCUAGGUUAUGUAAGUGUAUGUUUAUCUAUACGUAAUUUUUGUCUCAUAUCAUUAUUUCUUUUGCGUGCGUCACCCUACUAACUUCGUCUUCCAUUUUAUGUAGGAUGCUAAUUCAGAUGUGCCGCAUAGAAGCGCACUUCCAUGUUGGCUUCAUGGAUCCAUCCCUAGUUAACCAAAAGCAGAUACGGAAGUAGCUAGAGAAAAUGUUGGAGGUGGUAUACAACUUCCUGGACAAACAAAACUAUAGAAUAGGGGCAAUAUGUGAAGGUCUUGUAGGAUUCCUAGUGGACAAGGUGAUAAAUCCAUAAGGAGAAUAUCAUUACAACGGACGAGCAUUAGACACACUGAGCAACACCUAGACGGGAGGAUCCUAGGAAUGACCUAGACAGAUUUUGGUAUAAAUAGUAAUUGUGUAAAUACUAGUUUGAUUUGUAUAGGAAUAUACUAAGAAUUGUAUAUAUAGUAAUUGUACAAAUACUAGUUUGAUUUGUAUAAAUACUAGAUUGAUUUUAUUAUAAAAAAGUUUUAAGUCGUACGUGCAUGCGCCUACAAAGGCGCGUAUGCCCUUUAAUCCCGGUUGGAAAAACAAACCGGUACUAAAGGGGCUCGUGCCGCACCUGGCAUGACCGCCCCUUUAGUCCCGGUUGAACGACCCAGGACCAAAGAUCUGCCCCGUCUCAUAAAUUUUAUCCUGGAUGCUUUUUAGAGAGAUUUGAGGCCUAUCAACCAAGACUAAUAUCGAGUUUUCUACCAGUGGAACUAACUAACGUUCACAUGCUUCUGACAUUCACCUGCCAUUUGGUGUAGACAAGGGCACCCUAACAUAUGGUUAAUAUUAUUCAUGAAAGAAAAUCCUUUGAUUCAAAAAUACUUCAAACCUAAUAAUACAAUACUUCUCACAUCUGAAAAAUAUGAGAUGGCCCGACAGUAUUCUAACCGACGCAAUAAUAUUUUGAGGGCAGCACUACUACAGCGACCCUCAUUCGUGCCGGUGCUGGAACCCCUAUCACGACCCUGAUACAAAUGAGGGUACAUUAUUGUUGCCAGUGCUAGAAUAGCCACGAAUAACUUGCUAAACAUGCUGUUACACUCACUACUAGAAAAAUAACCUCUCGUCCUGAGGCUUAGUACCGGUCACUUUUUUGCCCAGUACUAAUGUUAGUAUUAGUACCGGAUCCAAAUUUGGGAUCCCCCAGAGACCCUUUAGUACCAGGUGGAGUCUCCACCCGAUACUAAAGGCUUUGUUACCGGGUGAAGGAUCCUCCCGGUACUAAUGGGGGAUUUUUAGUACCGGGUGGGAACCCCACCCGAAACUAAAAUCUCCCAUGCGGACCCCUCCCCCCCCCACGCGUUGCCUCUGUCCUCCCUCCUCCUCCUCUGAGUAGUUAUCCCUUCCUCAUCCCUCCUCCUCCUCCCACACGUGGGGUGAGGUGAGGUGGCAGUAGCAACGACAGGUGGUGUGGCGGGUCACGGCGGGCCGGAUGCGGAGCCGCAACGGUGGUCGGCGGGAUGGGGUGGGGCAGAGCGGCAUGGCAGGGCGGAGCGGUGGGACGGGGCCGAGGUGGAGGUGCCGGGCGGAGGUGGAGUGGCAGGACAGAGGCGGAGGCGGAGCGGCGGGUCGGCGAGCGGGUGGAGGGUGGCGACGAUGGGGCGGGCAGAGGCAGAGGGGUGGGUGGAGGGGCGGCGUGGUCCACCGGCGGGGGGGGGGGGGGGAGAGGGAGGCGUGGGGGGUGCGGUUGGUGAUUUCAAUUUUCUUUUAAUUUUUUAACACCCUUCAGUACCAGUUAUUUUAACCGGGUCUAAAGGGAUCCCCUCUUGUACCGAAUUGCUAGUACAGGAUGCACAACCGGUACUAGAGGGAGGUUCCCAACCGGUACUAGAGCCACUUUCCCCGGUAGUGACUUUUUCACCGAUUAGAAUAUGUUAUUAUUCUAAUCAGCUUUUGUUGAUCUCCUGUAUAAUUUAGUACCUAAUUCUACUAGCAAUUGUUAACGCCGACACGUAUUGGGUAUAGUCCUAACAGUGUCUAACUAGGGCACUACAUUUGUUAACCUAUAACUACUGGUAUCGAUUAGCCCUGGUUAGAAUACUGUCAAGGCAGCCAGAAAAAAUUGUUUGCCAAUUCUGCUAUCCAUCAGAACCAUGACUAGUACCGUAUUGUAAUAAACGAAUUACACAAAUAACUGAUGCACACAAAGGAAUAUGCACUCGCAUGUGCUAGACGUUCGUAGCAACAACAAAUUACUCUCAUCAUCAAUUAAACAUAAUAGAUUAAACAUUAACUGAACAUAGUUCAACACGUACAUCAACAAGACAAAGCAGUUUAAACAUCAACUGAACAGAACUGAAAACAUACAUCAACUGAUGAUAAACUUCGACAUGAACACAACACAUAAACAUCAACUUCAAUAGAACUUAAUAGAGCAUAUUAAACAACAACAUCGACAAAACAUAUAAACCCAGCUCAGUAGCUCAAGCAUCAACUAAAACUGCUGAAUUAAAAUAACAUAACAUAGUGUAGUUCAUCAUGAUGAUAACUAACAGAACCGAAAAGCCUAACUGGGUAAAAGAGCAAUUCAUUCAUAAUGCUUCAGCACUUACAUCACCGGAGUAUGCAACUGGCGGCGUCGCUUACGUCACUAUCACCGCGCUUGGCGAGUAAAGGAGGAGGAGGUGGCAUAGUAAUCGAAGAGGAGGCCGCUGUCGGCGGGUUUAGACUACGUGGAGGUGUGGGUAGGGUUAAGGUGGCUCUGUGGACGAGUAUAUAUAAGAGGUCUGGGCUUGUUAGAAUAAGAUAACAUUCUAACUGGCCAAAUUCGGAUCCGGUUAGAAUAAAUUGUUCUAACCAGCCUUAAUUCGAGGUGGUAAGGAUAAGUUAACAUUCUAAUCAGCUCUAUUUGGAGCCCGAUUGAAUGUUCUUGUUAUUCAAAAAAAGAUCAAGUUCAUCAAUUUUUUUCUAGAAAAACAUCAAGAUAAUUUAAACACGAUAUAUAACAAGAUUAAUACAUUUAAAAAUUGUUUUCUCCAAUAAUUAACGAUAUUUAACAAAUUCAAAAAAAAUCCAAAUUAACAGAACAUAAUAACCAAUUGUUCGAAAAAAUCAAAAUAGUCCACACAGUAUCAUAUUACAAAUUCAGAAAAAUAUCAAAAUAAUCCCUGAUCCACUCGAUACCGUCGUAGAACUUUGAAAUACUGAGCUUCUUGAUUCAUCUGAGGUCCACGUACUCGUCUCAGUAACACUAGUGGUGGCCAUGCAUCUUGUAGAUGUCUUCUAAUGAAUUAAGCUUGACAUACAAGGUCGUGCCUUCCACUCCUUGAGGAUUGCUUAUGACGUUUCUGCAAAUAACGAAGCAUUGCUUUCUCCAACAUGAUUAUUUUCUUCGGCUUAUCCCAAGGGACAACUAUGGUUUUCCCCUUGCCGGAAGAGGAACGAUGAUCGCCCCCACCAUCGCCACUUCCUCCAGUAGCAGAAGCCAUCUAUGUACAAAAAUUCAUACCUUAGCACUACAGAACUUGUUGAACUUGAAGACUGUGAUCAUUAGGCGAGCAUGUUCUCAACUAGGUGGCACCGCACUUCGUCAUGGAAGAGCUUCGAUUUUACAAAAAAGGGGACAUGAUCUUCCAUGAUGUCCGUAUCCGCUCUUUCUCGUAGAAUCAGAGCUCCUCCUUGAUAUACGAUGCUGCUCGGCGGAGAACAUGCUCACCGAGAUGAACACGGUAUGCAAGUUCAACAAGUAUGGAUUUGAAAAACCAUAUUGAAUUUGACAAGACAAACUAUCUAGAUAAGCGUAGCAUCAUUCUUAAACCACUGCAAGGAUACGUACUAUAUAUGACACAUCAAUCUCCCUCACAUUCUAGCUCAAAAUACCUCUCCAUUUUCUACUUCACAUUCUAGCAAAUAAACUAUCUAUCUCCAUUCUACACAUCAAGUUGUUUUAACUAAUACAAAUCGUAUAUAACAAGCAAAAUAUCCAUCACAUUCUAGCUCAAAAACAUGUAUAAAUACAAAUCCUCUUCAUUCUCCCUUUUUCUAACAAACAAACUCAUUUUUCUCCCUCUCCAAAGCAUAAAUUAAAGCGUAACAUGAGGAUGAGGUAGCAAACCUUCACAACACAUUGGAUGAGUGAAAUUCCCACGAAAAUGAGGGAAAAAAAUUCGGGCAGCACCUCCCUUGCUUCGGCACCUCUAGAGAGUAGGUGAAGCUCAGUUCUCUAUUUUUGUGGUGGACUAGCUUGGGCUGGAGGAGGAAGAAAGGCCUCUGUCUUGGUAUAUAAUGGGGGAUGAGUUUUUAUCCCAGUUAAAAGCUCCAACUGAGACAAAACGGCCAAUCUUUUGUCCCGGUUGGAGCCUCCAACCGGGACAAAAGGGGCACGCCAUCGACGCACGGGAGCUAGCCGUUACAACCGGGACUAAAGGGGGGCCUUUAGUCCCGGUUGCAAAUACCAACUGGGAUUAAAUCUCCCCUCCAUUUUUGCCUACCGUGGUGCGCCCCCUUUUAUCCCGGGUCAACUUUAAACCGGGACAAAAGGGGGCGUCGAAGAUCAGUUCUCUACUAGUGACCCCUCCCCACCUAUCUCUCUCCCUCCAUGCUCCUCGAUCUGUGCCUCCCCUCCCCUCCCCUUCCACUCGCCCCUCACCGACGGUAAGGAGCAGCGGCGGGGCGAGGUGAGGUGGCAGCAGCAAUGGCAGGUGGUGGGUCGCAGCGGAGCGGCUACGGUAGGCAGCCGGACGGGGCAGAGCGGCGGGGCGGGGUGGAGGCGGAGGUGGCGGGUAGAGGCGGAGCGGCGAGGCGGAGGCGGAGGUGGAGGCGGAGUGGUGGGACGGCAGGGCCGGGCGACUAGUAUAGGUGGGCGGGCGGAGGGCGGCGACGGCGGAGCGGGCGGAGGCAGAGGGGCAGCGGGGGCCGCCGGCGGGGGGUGUGAUCGGGGAUUUCAAUUUUUUUUAAAUUUUUUAACACCUUUUAGUCCAACUGGUUCUAAAGGGACCCCUCUAGUAUCAAAAUUGCUAGUACCGGUUGCACAACCGGUACCAGAAGUGGUUCCUAACUGGUACUAGAGCCACUUUCCCUGGUAGAGACUUUUUUACCAGUUAGAAUAUGUUAUUAUUUUAAUCAGCUUUCGCUGAUCGCCAGUAUGAUUUAGUACCUAAUUUUACUGGCGAUUGUUACCGCUGACACGGAUUGGGUAUAGUCCUAACAGUGUAUAACUACGGCACUACAUUUGUUAACCUAUAACUACUUGUAUCGAUUAGCCCUGGUUAGAAUACUGUCAAGGCAGCCAGAAUUUUUUUUUUUUGCCAAUUCUGCUAUCCAUGAGAUCCAUGACUAGUACCGCAAUGUAAUGAAUGAACUGCACAAAUAACUGAUGCACACAAAAGAAUAUGCACUUGCACGCUAGACGUUCGUAACAACAAAUUACUCUCAUCACCAAUUGAACAUAAUAGAUUAAACAUUAACUGAACAGAAUUCAACACGUACAUCAACACGACAAAGCAGUUUAAACAUCAACUGAACUGAACUGAACACAUACAUCAACUGAUGAUAAUUAUCGACAUCAACAGAACACAUGAACAUCAACAUCAAUAGAACUUAAUAGAGCAUAUUAAACAACAACAUCGACAAAACAUAUAAACCCAGCUUAGUAGCUCAGGCAUCAACUAAAAUUGCUGAAUUAAAACAACACAACGUAGUGUAGUUCAUAAUGCUUCGGCGCUUACACCACUGGCGGGUCGCUUACGUCGGCAUCACCGCGCUGGCUGAACCUCCGACACCCCCACCACGGCAAACGGAGGUGAUGGCGGAAGGUGAGGCAACGACAGUAGCUGGUGAGCUCCCGCUCCAAUGUCUCGCGAGUAAAGGAGGAGGAGGUGGCAUGGGAAUCGAAGAGGACACUAGUAGAGAAACGACUUUCCAUCCACCCCCUUUUGUCCCGGUUUAAAGUUGGCCCGGGACAAAAGGUUCACCAACCGGGAUUAAAACUCGGUCACUGGUGGGGGGCUCACCAACCGGGACCUUUUAUCCCGGUUGCAAAGGCUAGUGGGAAAAAAUUACUCUGAGAGGCCUUUUAUCCCGGUUUGAAACACCAACCGGGAUAAAAGACCCCCCCUUUUAUCCCGGUUGGUAACACCAACCGAGAUAAAAGGGUCAAGAGCCUUUUAUCCCGGUUGGAAACACCAACCGGGAUAAAAGGGGGUCUUUUAUCCCGGUUGGUGUUUCCAACCGGGAUAAAAGGGUCCCCCACGAGUUAAUACAAAAGGAUAGUAUCCCCUACAUAGUCAGAUGUGGUGUGUAGGUGGGAUGGUAAGGAAGCUACGCGCGAGGCUGGAGGUUGUGGGUUCGAAUCCCACGAACCGCGCACGCGCAUAUUUCGCGUGAAAAAUCGCGUGACUUGCGACUUGCGCGUGUGGGGGGGCCUCCUGGGAGCUCGGGAAUUUUUUUUUUUUGCAGCGCCGGCCGUGGGUGAACCCUUUUAUCCCGGUUGGUAUUACCAACCGGGAUAAAAGGGGGUCUUUUGUCCCGGUUGAGUGACCCGGGAUAAAAGACCCCCCCUUUUGUCCCGGUUGGUUUAUCCCGGAUGCAUUUUCGAGAUCUUUGCACCCUACCAACCGGGAUAAUAGGUGAGUUCUCCACCAGUGGGAGGCCGCCGCUGGCGGGUUUAGACUACGUGGAUGUGUGGGUAGGGUUAAGGUGACGGUGUGGACUAGUAUAUAUAAGAUGUCUGGGCUUGUUAGAAUAAGAUAACAUUCUAACCGGCCAAAUUCGGACCCGGUUAGAUUAAAUUGAUAUUCUAACCGGUCCUAUUUCUAGGUGGUAAGAAUAAGUUAACAUUGUAAUUGGCUUUAUUUGGAACCCGAUUGAAUCUUCUUGUUAUUCAAAAAAACAUCAAGUUCAUCAAUUUUAAUCCAGGAAAACAUCAAGAUAAUUUAAGCACGAUAUAUAACAAGAUUAAUACAUUUAAAAAUUGUUUGAUUCACAAAUUAACGAUAUUUAACAAAUUCAAAAAAUCCAAAUUAACAGAACACAAUAACCAAUUGUUCGAAAAAAUCAAAAUAAUCCACACACAUUAAUAUAUUACAAAUUCAGAAAUAUAUCAAAAUAAUCCCCGAUCCACUCGAUACCGUCAUAGGACUUUUAAAUACUGAGCUUCUUGAUUCGUCUGAGGUCCACCUACUCGUCUCAGUAACACUAGUGAUGGCCAUGCAUCUUGUAGAUGUCUUCUAACGAAUCAAGCUUGACGUACAAGGUCAUGCCUUCCGCUCCUUGAGGAUAACCAUCUUUGGUGAUCUUGAAAUGGCAGACGGUGGAUGUGCCAAAGGUACGUGACGAUCCUUCUAAAUGUAUGCCACCACAACUUCCGUCUGAUCGCCAUGGGUGACACCAAGAAGAGCUACCAUGCGGCAAGGGACGAACAAUUUAUCAAUUAGUGCCGCUGUCCAUCGCCAUCAUCUAAUCCAGCCAUAUCUUGUUGUAUAUUUAAGUAUAGAAAUUAAGAUUUAAAAAUAAACAGAAUAAAUUGAGAUCGAUUAUGUAUGUAUAUCAGAACAUUAGCUUUUGGAAAAAGGGCUUCGAUGGAAGAGAGGCACGGGGCAUAGAGACAACAACGAGUGACAAUAUGUCAGAAGAAUACCCGAUCACAAUUAUUGGCACACACAGCCGAUAUUUACAGUAGUCAAUACCCCUGGUAAAUAACCACACCAUCAAGAGUAAAUAGUGACAAUAUGCAGUAUAUACACGACAUAGCCUUGGCUGCCGUGGAAGCACCAGAAGGGAGACAAAUAACAGGGACCACUACAUCAAGUAGAUAGUGACAAUAUGCAAAAGAAUACCCGCGCCUGUUAGCAUGUGUGAACUGACCACACCACGAAACGUGAUACACGGCAAGCGUACCAAGGCCUUGCUGUGCAGACUAUGCAUGGACAACACAUGGUACCUGACCGCUUUUGGCCUCAGACACAUCAAAAACUGCAUCGUUCCACGUUGUACAUCCAUUGCUAGUUUAUCUAUAUUACAUAAUAUAUUAUUAGCUAUUUGAAUAGAAUGAACCAAUUAAAAAAUUACGUUGUAUUUUAGUACCGGCUGCAGGAUGGUGUUACCAACCAGUACUAAUUGGCCUGUAGGAGUGAUGGUUAUUAGACUUGGUACUGUUGUUAGCAUCAUUAACCUAAUUGUGCGCCGUAUGAAUUUGGGGAUGCAAAGCUAGCUCUCUAUGAAUGUGAGGGAUGGAAAGCUAGUUCUCUAGUAGUAAUUAUAUAUAUGACAGUCAGGAAAUCGAACACUAUGCUGCUACGAGUCACCAUCAUUUCCUUCAUUGACAAUCUGACAUAGGUGAAGCUGCUUCAAUAAUUUCCUUCGCGCAGUCGUGGAGCUUAUUGGAUUAUCACCAGGACGGGACACGGAAAUGGCCAGCAAUGAAGCUGAUUGCCGUCUGAGGAAGACUACAUACUUACCUAUGAAAUGAAGCGAUUGCAUAGACUAAUGAAGCAUUGCAUAUUUGCAUGUGAGUGUGGCAGAUAAUUCUGCAGGACAUGAUUGCAAUCCACGCACCAUCGAGAAGACUGGGGCGAUGGGGUUGCCUCAUCAAUAAUCACGUGGAUGCAUGCAUGCAUGUUCCCUCAACCGGACAAGGGUCUGAUAUAUGGCUAUAGUAUUACUGAGCCCACAUCAAUAAUUUCCGCUGGUGUAUCGUGUGGGAAGAAUCAACAUACUACACCUCUGAGUUCUUGGAACUAACUGACGUUCACAUGCAACCUCCACAAGGUGCUGUAUGCUUUUGACAUUCACCUGCCAGUUCGUGUAGAGGACACCCUAACGUAUGGUUAAUAUUAUCCAUUUCAUGAGUAAAAUACUGUGAUUCAAAAAUACUUCAAAUCCCUUGAGACAAUACUUCUCACUUGACUAACCACUAACCAACCCCGAAACCCUAACUCAACUCCGAACCCUAACCCCUAACGGCAUAACCACUCCGUUUUGCCGGCGAGAUGGAGGAACUGGCUGGAAGGUAGAGAGGGCAGCGGUCCAGGGUUGAAAACGACGGGCGAGCGCAGUAACAUGUGGAGGAGGAAGUGCCACGUAUUCGUUCACCGCUAUUGGGCAGCGACACACGACACGCCCAAUAAGAUCUUCGCACGGUAGAAGGACGUCAUGUAUUCAAUAAUGUUAUUGGUCCCCCAUGUGCAGAAGGGCGCGCGCGUAUGGAAUAACAAGUAGGGACACUGCAACUAAUCUACUCUGCUCGUCCAGUCCCUAGCCUAUAAAUAGAUGCCAUGCUAGCUCUUGUUGUGCUCACAAUUAAUCCGAUUACACACGAGCUUCUCUCCCUGGCCAAGACACAACCAUAGUAUGAUGAAGAACAUGGCACUAGCCGGCAAUGGUAUGAAGAAGUUAAUCCUCGCUGUUCUCUUACUGUGUCUAGUUAUAGGGCAGAUACAAGUGGAAGCUAAGAGCUGCUGCCCAUCCACCACUGCAAGAAAUGUCUACAAUACCUGCCGUUUCACGGGUACAUCCCGUCCAACGUGUGCAAAACUGUCAGGCUGCAAAAUUAUCAGCGGGAACAAAUGCAAGCCCCCUAACGACCACCUCACCCUUGACCCGGACACUGGUAAAUAAUAAAUUUAUCUCACUUGAUUUCUUCGUGAUUUGAGUCGUUAAUGUAUUUUCCAUCUGAUGAAACGUAUUGGUUUUGCAUUGAAGAGGAAGUUAAUGU
rnacentral:lncRNA from 1 species